rnacentral:lncRNA from 1 species
AGUACACACGUCUUCAACACUCAGAAACCUUUUUCUUCAAUGGUAGUGAGAAGAGGUGCCAGGGUAUGAUUUUGAUUCCUGUGGAUUAAAAAACGAGGGACUGUUUAGAAGAGAUAAUCUCGUCUUUGCUAGUGCGAUGGCCGCCGCUGUUAACCAUAACAUUUAGCUAGUGUAGAAGAGUAAAACCCGCAGAGAUAUUUUUUCGACUCCCACAGCCAGGUCCUGCUAAUGGGCAAGGCCAUAAAGAAGAGGUUGCUCUUCAGGAUAAACAAGUGUCUGCAGUAGGUUCAGUGUAGGAGGAUAGCUCAAUGUAGUGAUUUAACUGAAGCAGUAUUACGACGAGCGAAGUUUGAAGUCUGGAUGUAUCUGCUACCUUCGGGGAAGGUGGGGAAGAGGAAGAGCAACAUCGUCUACUCUUUUGGGAAGCAGACCCAGCUGGAGAAGGUCAGCAGCAACUGAUACCUGGCUACGAACGAUCAGCCUCUGCCACCGAGCAUCCAGGAAAAGUGGAAGGGCAAUCCAAACGAGGGGGUGGUGAGGGAACAUCCAAGGAGAGGAGAGUGCGUGCGCGAGCAAGUGAUCCCUCCGGCAAGAAAAGUCCUCCAGAGGCCGAAAGAAUCCGACCAGCCCGAGCUGCACGAUCCUCUGGAGGGAAGGACCGACACAGCAAAGUUAACACAGCGAAAGGACCUAGGGAUCGAAGAGUUCGGCUUUCAGUCCCCACUGCUGUACAAUUCUACGAUGUGCAAGACCGGCUCGGCUUCGACCAGCCCAGCAAAGCAGUGGAAUGGCUGAUCAAGAAUGCCAAAGCCGCCAUUGAUGAGCUUGCACAGGUUCCGCCCAUGCGACAGGAAGAUCCUGCAGUCCCGGCCGAGCAUCAACCCCAGACUACAAGCUCCACCGUCUCCACCUUCUCAGCCUGCCCCCCCGAGGUCCCCGCUGCCCCCUUGUUAGAAUCCCCAGGCACAUCUUAUGGGACUUACGACAGUCAUGGGCAGUCAGCAAUGGUAUCCCCCUUCGGCCACACUAGUCACGGAAUGGAAACAGCCAUGGAGCUUCACCAUCAGCACCACCACCUCGGAGGCCAUGGCGGCUACGGUCCGAAUUUGGCACGAGAACAACAAGCUGGAUUGUAUUGGGGAGGAAGCAUCAGCGACGUUCAUUCAGGAGGGAGCUCCGGCGCUGCCCGCGUGGAGUCUCGAGCCAAAGCUCGAGAAAGAGCUCGGGAGCGAGCUAAGGAGAAACACAUUUCCGAGAGGGAUCCAGCUUCAGGAAGAAUCCCUUCAACUUACGUUCCCCAUCACGGACCAUCAUCCGCAUCUGCAGGGGCGCAGCAGCAUCCCCAUCUCGCGGUGCAGGGUCAAUCACUUUAUUCGAAUCUCCCAUCGCAGGUGACCAGCGCGCUCCAGCAUCCAUUUCAAGCAUCUCCUGCCUUCCAAGCUGGUAUCAAUCCACCCUUACGGCCACCUCCUCCCCCUGCUGCCCCUCCUUACAACGCACCCAGCUAUAAUUUACCUGAGGCUUUUUUUGCAUAUGGUGGGCAUUACAAUCCUACCUCUUACAACCAAGCCGAGCCACCCUUGCAGCAGCAGCAGCAAGGCCCAUCGGUCUCCCAUUAUUUUGUGGAAAAUCCUCUACCACCCAGCCGUUUCAGCAUCGCCUCGCAGGGAAGCAUUAGCACUAACUCUAUGAUGUUCUCUGGGCUAACUCAUGUCCCUGCAUCCUCUCUCCGAGCCAGCCCUUUCGGCAGCUUAAUUAGCGAGCAGCAACCUCUCAAUUAUUCCAGCAGCAGCUUUCCAUCCCCAACAGGGUAUCAAUUUCCACCCUCUUAUGUGUCAAGUUCUCACCGGCCACCGCCGCCGUCCUCUUCCUCAUUACUAGGUCCACCCCCCUUGGGCAGCAGCCUUCGUCUAUCUCAAGGCACGAUGGAGUACACCCACUCGAGAAUUCGACUUGGACAAGGGCAAGCUCAGGGACAUGGUCAGUUCGAGCACAGGAGCUACAACCAGGCACCUCAUAGCUUAGACCCCAGCUUCUACACACCUCAGAUACCUGCCAGAUUACAGGGGCUUGAGGAGCUUGAAGAGGAGUUCAAGCCUUGAGCUUGAGGAGGAGCCUGGAAGAGGGCCUAGAGUUUUCGAACAGGAUUCUCUGACCAUGCCAGCAAGUGUACAUCUUCAACCUCCCUUACUCGUUUGGAGAUCCACUCAUGAAAAGGGAUUGUCGAUUUACUGUCAUUCAAUAAAAUCCCGUAGAUUUUGCAGUUAUAGAGCUGCUUUAAUCAACCGAUCGACCUCAAAGGAUGGGUAGGGCGAGUGGGGAGGCAUAUUGGUGGCGACCCAGUGAUAUAAGCUGCUGCAAUAAGACUGACCUCAGAUUGUGGGAGAAGCAAUAAACAAAAUCCAAAAACGGCUGUCUACAUUGGAUGCGCAGGCAUAGCAUAUUGUUUUCGGGACUCAAUAAGCUCAAUAAUCUUGCCUCAUGCAUUGCAUGCGAAGGAAUCAAUCCAUGUACAUACCCGCGUAGAGACUCAUUGUAACAUAGCAAUUGAUGCUGCUGGGGGAGGAGGAUGAUUUCCCAUUUGGUGUAUGUUUUUUUAAACAUUCUUUCAGAGUGGCCAACCAGGCUUUUCGCAUCGCCUGCAGGAGGUUCCGGCACUACAAUUCGCAGAGCCAGGCCAGCCCAGCCCUUAUCCCCCUUUCCAUAUUGUCUAGGUGCUUGUGACAAGUCACACCGCCGCGCCCGGUGGUGCCGUUACAGUCACUUCUGUAGUCCUUCUCUGAUGCCUUUGCUUGAAGACCUCGGGGUGCAGAGAAGGAUCUCUCCUGGGUUUCAACGAGUGGAGCUCCCCAGAUGCUUCUAGCUGCCGCGUCUUCGACGAGAUGGGCUUGGCGGCGUCGAGGAGGAUUAGACUGUCCAUGCUUUUUAUGGCCACAAACUGCACAUUCUGUUUCAAUAAGAUAAAAUAAAAUAAAAUAAAAAAAACAAGCUGUGACAUGAGCUAUCAUGGAUGGAUCAAUGGUGAGAGGAGGUAAAUGGAUCCUAAGCUCACGACUCCGCCGAAGCCUGCCCGAAUCAUGCUUUCAUACUGAGGCUUUAGGUGUUGCUAGAAAGCUCACAAAUUGAUAGGUCACCUAGAAUUUCACUAUCUGGAUCAGAGCCCUUUUUUCUUCCCUUUCUUUUCUUUCUUCUGUUCUUUUUAUUGUUUGCUAGCUUUCUUGUACAUCACGUCAUCGGCGCUGCGCUUUGAGCAUUGGAAGAAAAUCAUUGUACGGUUACAUGUUUUGUUGCAUUCAGAUUCUUUCUAUGUUUUAUUUGAUAUAUCAAUACGUAUCUAUUUAAUCUCGGUUACUCAGAUCAAUCGACCUGGCGUAUACGUUAGUACACAUGAACUUGUACUGGUAUUCAUCUCAUUCAUCGGAACACAUUUUCUUAUACAUAUAUAUAUAUAUAUAUAUAAUAUUCUUAUGAGGAAAAUCGUUGAUAAUCAAAUAUAUAUACAUACAAACCAAAAUUACAGUUAUUUCGAACCCAAGAAAGACAGUAGAAACCCAAUAUUCUAGAUUUUGGGUUGUAACGUAAUCAUGCAACGCGAAAAUGAUUCGUACACAGAUCAUUUGCAUAUCUCAGCAUGGUGGUCGCAUUCCAGAUACAUGCAUAUAAUGGAGUAUAUUUGUGUAGAUAUUUGCAAAUAUCAGACUGUGCAAGCUCGAACACAUGCAUAACAACACAACAGGAUCAGGACCAACUUCCACCCCAGCCUUGCCUACAGAAAAUGGAUACCAGACAUGCAUUUUCAGGCAUGAAGGUGAACGUUCGACAGGAAAAUGGCCUUGAACAUGAUAACUAGUCAGAGUGGAAGCUCCAUCCGCAUGCCCAUGUUGAAAAUAGACUCGGCAACCGGCACUGGUAGGCGCUGAUGAAAACUCCGGUUCACCUCUCCCGCACAGAAGUCCAAAGUUAAUGAACUAGGCUUGAUAGUAUGACCGCGAAAUCGAAUCAGUGAAGCCAAAAAAAGCAAAGCAUCUAGUGCAAGAACUAAGAAAUAUUUUCUAAAGGUCUCAUCAAAAACGCAACCUGAAAACUGCUGCUGAAGUGCUUGCCAUGCAAUUCGUGCAGCUCCAGCUCGUGGCAACGUUGCCCUUGUUUCAUUUUCCCCGUUACUUUCUUAAUUUUUUUCGUUGCGUCUUCUAGCUGUGAGGCAGACGUCAGCAGCAACUCAAAAACGACCUCUUCUUUAAACCAGCAAUAUCUGUGUACAUAAAAGGGAAAAUUAACUUCCUGAUUUUACCUUUGAACCACGCAUAAUAGGCAUUUCUUUCACUUGCAAUAUGUUGGGUUGUCAUGAACCAUUCGUUAUUGUAUAGAUCUGAUUUUUAUGAACCUUACAUUUAGAUAAUUGAUUUGGAUAACAUGAACUCACCGAACAGCAGAUUUACAUUCCACGUUAUAGAACACAAUAAACAGAGCUGCACCAGGGUAGGUUAGAACUCUAGAGGCACAGCCUUUAAACAUCUCGGGUAUCGUGUAAAUCAGUGCACUGAUAUGGACUAACCAUCAAUUUGGCAGCAACGACCCCGAACAAGCUGCCAAAAGGUGUGGCAAAAAGAAGAGCCAGCUUCAAAUCUGUCUCUAUUAGUGGUACAAAUUUGAAAGAUGCUGGCAUGGAACAAGACAACGAGCAGGAAUAAUUGAGGAACAGUCUCAUGGAUAUGAACACAGCGAUUUUCUCCCCAUCACAUGCAUAAUUUCCUCCAACUACCUUUACUAUAUGAUUCUAUUUUCAGAAUUGCUGAAUUUAUUGAACCUUUUACAACAUUCGUCCGUUAAAGUUCAUAACGAAACCUAUCGAACGUUGAUUAUUGUUAGAAUCCAGAUUCGGGCGACAGGUUCUGGCCAUGAAUCAAACUUAAUCAUUGCUCAAAUGAUCUCCGUACGAGCUCAAAUUAUUCAUCUGAUUUAUGCCACCCGACCCCAAAUGCUUUACAACAGACCGCUCUGCAUUAUGGUUUUUAUGAAACCGUCCUCCUCAACGUCUUCAAGAUAAACAGUUCGGCGAGCAUUUUUUUUCAUCACGUUUCAGUGAUAAUUAAAACCAAUCAUUUCGACAGUUCAAAAGCGACACAUCAAUAUUCCAGACAAUCUGAAUGAUAAAUUGAGACACGAAGUUGCAUAGUAGUCCAAAAACUGACCGAAUCAUGAACACUAUUCCUGACUUCCAGUACAGUUAUGGGGUGAUGAAAUCAGAAAACUGCUAUCAAAGGUCCACAGACGCGGUGGUUAUGAAGGAGGCAAUGCACAAGCACAAGACGAAGGUUCGAAGCAUGCAAUUUGUGGGACCCAACAACGGCAAAUGCAUUACCAGAUGGGAGAGACCAUCAUGCACUUCUUCUGGUGGUCUGAGUAUGGGAAAACUCCUAUUCAAGUCGCACACCCUCACAAAACAUGCAAGAAGCAUCUUCCUAAGCCAUUGCAAAGCACCGAGAACCCAACACAAGGAGGCACACGAGUGGGAGUUCCACCUUAUCCCCGAAGUUCCUGAUGGACUUUUUUCUUCAAGUCCAGCAUUUGGUAGGGCUUGAGCACCGAAACUCUACAUGGAGGUUAGUCCAGCUACAUGAGUUGGGCAUCGCCAACCAACACCCAGCUGCUCAUAGUCCCCAAAAACGGAUAUGCUUGGGCUCACUUUGCGGCUGGAAAACCUUCACAACCUGGAUCCUUGCAUGUUCCAAUGAAGCAUGAAAAACGCACGCAUUUCUUCGCAAUAAGUUCACAAACCACAAUGUAAAAAAAAUCUCCACAGGCAAAUAGAAUCACUCUUCUUAUCAGCAUUAGCACUGAGAGCAAACAGAGUGGGAAGCACAUCCCCACAACCAUUCAAAUGCAGAGCAACACCAUUCCAAAUUCCCCCUCCAAAGCCAAAUGCAUUCUCCAGCCAAUGUUGAUACCCCGCCAUCUUGUCAAGCAGAUAAUAUCGAUACUCCGACCUGACCCACUGGUCGGAUAAUAGCGGGUACUGGCGGGUAUGCAUAGCUGGGAGGGUUGUCGUUCGGUAUUUUCGUUUGUAUGUAUACAAAGUCACUUCAGUUUGUGAUGAUUUGAAUAUGAGUGACUUUUUAAUAAAAACACUUGUAUUCAUAAAAAUAUGACAGAUGUUAAAUAUCAAAUUCAAUGAAAAUUUUGGUUUUUAGUGUCUUUUGUAAGUUUGUACAUAUCAAAUGUAAGAAGUGCUUCCAAAACUUAUAAAUUUAUCAAUAGAAAUUUUUGAACCUUUAACUUAUCAAUACUUUUCACAAUCACAAUUAUUAUAAAAAAAUAAUGGUAUUUUUUUAAAAAAAAUUAUAAAUUAGAUAUACAAAAAAAGACACAUAAAAUACCAUAUAUUAAAUAUAUAACAAUACACACAAACUUAUAUAUUAAAUUAUUUUAUUUUUAUUCAAUUUUGAAAAAUUCCUCAAAUAUUGGAUGUUGGAAGGUAAAUCUAUAUUUCAAUUUAAAAAAUAUUAAAUAUUAAAUUUUUAUUAUAAAUAAUAGUAUUUUUUAUUAAAUUUUUUAAUAGAAAUAAACAUACAUUUCUUACUUUAAUUUAAAACACAUUAUUGCUUUAUUAUUUAUUAUUUUAUAAAAUAUCAGAUUUAGCAUUUAAAAUAAAUUAAAAUAAAUAAUAUAAUUUUUAUAUAAAUAAUUUUACUACUAAAUAAUUAUAUUGUAUUCACAAAUGUAACUAUCUUGCAUACACAAAAACACCACUAUCUUUGAUAUAUACAUAUAUAUAUAUAUAUAUAUAUAGAAAUAUAUUUGUCUAUAGUACAACAUCAAUGAAGUUCCAAAGUAAUAGAAAAAUUGUUUUGUAUGUUGCUUCCUUUGGAAUUGCAGCACAAUUUUUAAAUGGUGGAUGGAUUGCACAUUCUAUGUUUAAAAUUUUGCUCUAUUUUAAUAAACAUUUUUUUUGCAAUAUUGCAAAGAAGGCAAAUUUGUUAAGAAAGACAAUUCUUAUCAUUUGGGAUGAGGUACUAAUGCAACAUUGCCAUUCUGCUUAGGCAAUGGGUAGAAUUGUCUAAAACAUAAAUAGCACUAAUAAGUUAUUUGAUGGAAUUGUUACAGUCUUUGGUGCAAAUUUUGGCAAAUUCUUCAUGUUAUUCUUUAAUGCUCAAGAAAAGAGAUUGUUGAUGUUUCUUUGCAACAUUCAAAUACCUAGUGUAAUAUUAAAGUAUACAAGUUGACCAAAAAUAUGUGGCUAGAAGGUGUAUUUGAUAAGAAUCAAUUAUUUGCUGAAGAGUUCUUGAAGGUAUUUAUUAUAUAAGACUAUUACUUUUGAAGGUUUUUUUUAUGAUACAAUAUUUAUAUUUAGUAUAAAUAAUAAUAAUUUUUAUUUGCAAAUUGGAAAUAGAUCAAUAAUUGCAGAUCCAUUGCAAAAUACAAUGAUUCUUCCAAAACAUAUAAAAGUAGGUCCAACAUCAAAUGAUUUGAUUCAAGCUGUUUAUUUGGUAUUGGAUGAUGAUGAGACACUUAGAGACGAAAAUUUCGUCAAUAAAUCUAUUUUAUUUGUUUAAUAUUAUGAUGUUGAUGAUUUAAACAAGCAUGCUAUAUAGAGAUUUCCUGGAGUUUUUUUUAUGUUUAACUCAUCACAAAAGUAGCAAUUAUAAAAGAUGGUUGUGAUAAUGAUAAUUAUCAUCCAACCAAAUAUAUGCUAAUAAUGAUAAUUAUCAACCAUAUAGAUCGGAACUCAAGAUUGGAUUGCCUAUUAUAUUGUAACAAAAUGUUGCUCUGCAUCAAGGACUUUGCAAUAGAUCACACUUGGUCAUUAUUUAGCUGACUGAUCAAGUUAUAGAGUCAAGACUUUUAUCUAAAGACUACAAGAGACAAUUAAUAUUUCUUCUAAAGAUUAUAUUAUGCCUAUUAUUUGUAAAGAUUUUAUUCAAGUUGUAAUAUAGGCAAUUUCUAAUAAAAGUGGGAUUUGCAAUAACCAUUAACAAAUCUCAAGGAUGAUUGUUGAAUAAACAAAGAGAUCUUAGACUCCCUAUGUUUAUUGAUAGACAAUUGUAUGUUGCCCUUUUACAAUGCACUUUUCCUAAUAUUAUCAAGUUCCUAUAUCCUGAAAAUAAUGAAGACAAAAAUGCUACCAUAAAUUUAGAUUAUCUUGAAGUUCUUUUAACUUAAUUAUUUUAAUUGUUGUUUACAUGGAAUAUGACAAAUUACAUUUCUUAAUUAAAAUGAAGAAACAUCAAUGGUUCCAUUGUUAUCCAUAUAUAUAUAUAUAUAUAUUUUGUCUUUUUUAUUAGUCAAUAUUUUUUAGAAGUGGUCAAUUUGUGACAUAGCAACCAUAAAUGAAGAUUUUACAACUUUUUUGUGGCCAAUGGCAUGGAUUUCCACCAAUUAAUAUAUAUAUAUAUAUAUAUAUAUAUAUGUAUAUACACUAUUACAUUUGUGUAUCUCUUGUCAUAAGCUUUUGGAAAUAAUAUUAAGAUACACAACUAAACAUGCUUGUUUUGGAAUUCAACCUUGAUUAUAUUCAAAAGAAAUUAAACAUUUUGGAAAUAAUAUUAAGAUACAAAACUAAACAUGCUUAUUUUGAAAUUCAACCUUGAUCAUGUUCAAAAGAAAUUAAACAUUGUAAAAGCAUAAUGCUACACAAACACAAGAAAAUGAUUUUACUUGAUUUUUAAUUCCUCAUUGCAAAGUGAGAGGCCCUGGGCACCUACUAAUUCAUAUAUAUAUAUAUAUAUAUAUAUAUAAACAUUUAUUUAUUUUAUUUGGAUUGGUAGUAUUAUCCAUGCAAAAGUGCACAUGGCAAUGGCAUCGAACAAGUGCAAGCUCUAGUGUUGUUGCAUUGCGAAGAGGACAAAGGGGAUGGACGAGGUUUUGUCGACGGAGGCAGCGGUUAUUAUGGUUAUGAGCUAGCUUCCUACAGCCACCGCCAUAGCCAGAGCUUCGUCUCAUCGCCAUCGCCCUUGCCUUCACUCCAUUUUCCAUGUCCGAUGCUGCAACCACGUUGCCUCUCUUUCUCCUUCUUCUUUUUCGUGUUCCGCAUGUUUGGAAAAUGCAGUCGUCCUGUAGGUAUUAGGGGAGUCCUCCACUUCAGGCCUUGGUUGAUGAUGGUUCCUGGAUCACUGCUCAUUUUUGGAGCAGCAGCUGCUCACCGUUCAUGCAGACUUGGAAACAGUAUUUGGUUGAAGAUCUUGAGAAAGCAGGAGACGAGGAAAUAAUUUGUUUUGGACGGUGUGCGUUUGUGAUUCACUGAGAUGGCAGGCGAGUACACGCGGGAGAUAGAGAGUAUUGAGGAGAAUAAGAAGAAAGGAUGGAUGAUGACGGGGAAGAAUUUGAUCCAGAGACGCACGACCAAGCAGCUCAUCGAGGAUGCGCUUCUCACGCGCUUCCAUGUCCAGGAAGAGCGCCAGGUUUUUUUGUCCUCGAGAAUUGCUGUGAGCCUGUUGUGAUUUGUAGUUGGUAAUGAGGCACCAGUUCGUAGUAUCUGUCUUCCAUGUCAGCCAUUGUCGAAUUGUAAUGGUUCACGUCUGGUAUCUAGCGUGAUGAAGAUGACCUAAAUUCUAUGAUUCAUGAAGAAGUGAAGAAAUUUUUUCCUCUGCUCAGGUCAAAUUUGUCCUAACUAGCGAAGUUUUGUGCAUUAUCAAACUUCCAUGUGUUGUAGCAGGUUAUUCAGGUGGCUGCUUCAUUCUCAAGUGAAGAUUGUUUCCCCUUGCUCGUAUUCACCCAAAUUGAGUGUUUUAACGUCUUGCCACACGACUUUUGCAGGAAAAGAAUCGGAGGGAGUUUGUCGCCAAGAAAGUGCAAGAGCUGCUAAUUUUGCGACGGCAACAGCGAGACUUCAUCUUCGAGGCAUGUGCUGGAGUCUUUCAGGAUAUCAGUGUUCUUUCUUUUUUGUUGCAAAAACCAAGAUUCACUCUACUUCUACUAGCACAAUCUGAUCAUCUGAAUACGUGAGAAAAUUGCCGUUGUACUUGAUACCUGUGCAAUUUAUUCUCGAUGAUGAGUAUCUUUAAAAGUUUAUCGUCAACUGUUUAGAAUGGUACCAUUUUUGAGCUUCAUAACCUUGGCAAAGAUUUCAGCAGAUGCUUAUCCUUAUUCCAUAAUUGCACCUAAUCGUGCAGAAAUUCCAUGCUUCAAUGCACGCAACAAAACUGAAGGAGCAGUAUGCUUCUGCCAUGCAACGGGCUCUGCGGGUAUGAAGAUGAGACCUUUUUGUGCAAUUCUUGAAGAAACAGUCUUUUGCUUUGACAUGUUCAAUGUAUACUCACAAUCUGCCGUAAGGGGAUGAGUGCAGGCUUCGUGGCACAACAUUCUGGGUCUGGAGUUUAUUCGUGAACAGAAAGAGGACAAGGUGCGCAUGAGUAUGGUUGCUCUUCCAGCUUUGCUAUGAUGCACAACACGCUAGCACGCGCUCAAACUUUUUAAAAGAGCUUAUUUUUAACGCAGGACAGCGAGGUCGCAACGCAUUUUAAUAAAUACCAGAGUGAGGAAGCAGCAAAGGACAUUGCAGAGUUUGAAACUAAGACUGGCUUUGAACUUGGAGCAGAAGUAGCUUCUGCCCCUCCAUCAGGGGGCAAGAAACCACCACCAAACCAAACGCCGAAGAAGAAAAUGAGUAAAACUGUUCAACCUGUUGAAGAGCCCCCUUUCAAACUCGAUCCUAAAUCUCUGGAAGAGAAGCGAAAAACUGAGGAGAAGGUAUCUUCGUUUAACUUGGUUUUGAUUUCGACGGUAGUGAGCAGCCUUCAAUUGCUUAAGAACCUUGAACAUAAAGAGGUUCACAAGGUCUAUGCAUCUUUUGCUUAGAUGGGAGGCCUUGUCUUGCUAUAAUUGCAUGCCAUUGCUAAUGCAAACCUUGAUUAAUUUGAUGUACGCAAUCCUGGAGCAUCUACUCACUGAUCUUGUAGAGUAACUUGGAUAACGACAUACCUUUAUAGAAUUAGUGGUAAUCAUCAAGUUUUGUUAAGCUUCAAAUUUAAGUUUCGUUCUUCUCAAGAGGAGAUGAACCUAUCCGAGUCCAUUGUCAUUCAAUCAAUCUUCGUUGAAGUAUUUUGGGCAACUUGGAGGUAUCUGGAUUGAGUUUUUCUGCUUGAAAAUACUGUUUGCAGGCAGCCAUGGCCUUAAUAUUGGAAAUCAAAAACCGAAAAUUUGAAGAAUUCGCUUAUAAGUUGGAAGCACUAAAACAAUUAAAACAUGUAAGUUCUAUUUUUGUGUAGCUUCACCAUGUACAAAUGUUUUAAGUUACUGACUCGUGAUACAUUCUCAUCAGGGUUUUGAUUAAUGGUGAGGUUGAACAGGAGGAACUUGAGGCACAGGAAGGACAACGCAUGAUAGAUGAAGAAGAAUCCAUGAGGUACGCUGAAGAGUAUGCUACUGUUCGGGCAGCUCAAGAGGCAGAAGAGGCGGAGAAGCAGCAUUUGCUCAAGGAACAGGAAAUGGUGGCACAGGAUACAUGGCUUGCUCAACAUCAAGAGCUUGAGAAGAAAAAUCUGGCAGAUCUUGCUGUGAUACGAACUCAGGAACAUGAAUUAUGUAUGAUGUAUUUCAACGACAAAGCUGAUGAAAUCAAUGAAGAAUACAAUCGAUGGAGGGUAAAUUUAUCUGCUAAACUAGUUCUAACUUUCAUCCUAUAUGUUAAUCUGAAGUGUGUAAGUAGCUUAGACUUGAACUGAAGCCAGGAAAGUGCAAUGUUAGCUGAUAUCACUAAAGUCUUGGUUAUCCAUUUGGAUCACACUACUGGAUGACUUUAAUUGUGGGUUUCGUACUUAGGACACCUAGGUUUUAAUUUUUAUUUUCAGACUUUGCAAUAUUUGAUGAUUAUGAUGCUUGCAGGUGGACAUUCAAGCGAAGCGUGAAAAGAGGUUGCAGAAACACAGCGACUUCUGUUUUGACAUAGUUCUCCAGGUCCUCAAUCUUCGUGCAUGUUCUUACGUUGACGUCAACUGUUGCUACCGAAUUUGAGCUUUGUCGGAGUAGAAGUUUGCGAAAUUUGGAAAUUUAACUAAUUUUUUCUCCUAAGUUGUUGAUCUCUUGGUAAAUGUAUCAAAGGGAGUGUACCUGGAAGGCUGUAGGUUUCCUUCCGCUUGAAUUACCUCAGUUGAGCUGCUAAUUUGGAGUGGUAAAUAAAUUACGAAGAACGAAAACAGUGCAUUGACCUUAGUGUCUUCGUCUAUCUAAACGUUCUUGGUCUCUAUCCUUGCUUGAAUCUCCAUCUGCUUCCAUGAUCUCACUAUUCCUACUCUAUAAUUGGGUUAUGAUCGUGUGGAUGGGAUCUUUUUUAUAUUAUAUUAUAUUAUUUUAUUUUAAAUCUAGUAGUGUGCAUAAAUGUUGCUAUACAGUUCUUACUUAAUCUUCUAUAACUCGAACAAUGGUUGCACAGUGGGUUAGUAUGGCAGAAUGUAUUAACGAAUACCGGCUUGAGAUCGGUAAGCGCUUGCCCGCUCAUGAGUGGAGAGAAUGGAAGAACUUAUUCAUCAAAGGAGCUAUCCUCCCAGUAGUUUUACCACGUCCUCCAACACCAGCCGAGCCUCCCAGUGAAAAAGAACUGAGGCUUGCCAAGGUUGUACUCUGCUACGUACUUCAACUCCAUCUCCUCACUUAUCACAUGAAACUUAUUCCAUGCAUUAUCGUAACUCUGCAGUUUUUUACGGUCAUUUACAGUUGAAAACUCAUUCUAAUAGCACGUUCUUAACUUAUUACCGAUGGGCAGUUAUUUUGGAUCUGCCUAAAUUACGUUAUCUUCGGUAGUCUGCCCCUCUUUUUCUGACCCAUAAUCUUAGCCACAUAUUAGGAGGUGAUUUUCAUUCGACACAGUUCAACGACACUAAAUAUGUCAACAAUCCCUUUCUCCAUGUUCCUUUAAAGAUCAGCUCAUGAGGUGCUUGGGCGAUUGGCAUUCCCAUUUGGAGCAUCGUGGGGAUGAGACCCUCUUCCUUGAAUUAUCUUCAUGUUAUUGAACUGUUUCCUUGAAUUUGUAGGAAGAGUUGGAAGCGUAUCUGCAAGAGAAAGGAGACUAUGCAAAUGCAGAGGGAAUAGAACCUAUUGGCAAAAAUAAAGAGUUAGGAAAGUUCUUGGUAGACAUUGAUUGCAUGGCUGAGAGCCUAGCUGAGCCAUUCAAACGCCCUGACCUAUCAAAGUCCAGUCUCAUGAUUUCUGUUGUAGGGGUUCCACAUGCAGGUAUUCUUGCAUUACUUUACAUUUUUCUUAAGGCUAAAAUCUGUUUCCUGCUAGAUCAUGACCGUGGUCUUGAUUACACAUUACUAGCUUUGUUAUUACGUAUCUUGAUUAAGAAGAUCAAUUUUAGCUCUCAGCAUGGAGGUGCUGCUAAAUAAGAGACCACGUGGCUGAUGGUUAGGGAAGACAAGCGUAGCACAUCAUUUGGAAGUUUCGUAUGGUAUUCUGCUGAUUGAAUGGAAGAAGGUGCAAGAUUUGGCUAUAAAUUAUGCAAUAGCUGGUCCGUUCUUUCCCUUUCAGUAUUUUGUGUUACAAUCAUAAUUCAGAAGAAUUGGUACUGCUGACGUUCUAUGCCAAAUUCUCUGAUGAAAGUCAUAAAUAAGUUCGCCAAUUACAGUGGUUCCUCACCAAGCCUCGCUUUUCCUUUUCCUUUACCUUCCUUUCAUUGUUUCUGUAGAGGAAGAAAGAAUCAAAGCUGAAUUGGCUGCUCAACCUCCACCUGAUUGGAGUGAAGGAGAGAAAGAAGGUGAAAUCAAAGUUUCGCCAGACAAGUUAUCAGAAAAAGCACGGUUGGGGUUACAAGUCAAAAGUGCCAUAGAGAACAACUCUCAUGUAUGCAGUCUAGUCUUGGGUCAUGACCUAUUUGCAUGAUACAGUAGAGAAGAAAUUACUAUACCGGUUCGGUGUUAUGAGUCUUGGCAUAAAAAAUGAUCAUCUAAUACUAAUUGACUUCAUAUGGGUAUUUGUUUACAGGUGCCAGAUGACGUGAUAACUCGUUUGAUGUUUUUGACAAUGCUUCAUCCCGAGGAGUAUGGUAUGUUCUUGAAUCUGCAAGAAAAUCAUUGAGCUAUCCACUUACUGCUGAAGUGAUGCACAUUCAAAUGAAGCAAAGGACGUAGUUGAAACUUCUCAAGCAACCUACAAUCAUAUUAUAUUGAAAUUUUAUGUGGUUUGCGUGAUUCGAGCAGUACCACUUGUCGCACCAGCCCCAGCUGCCGCCGCCCCUUCAGCGAAAAAGAAGUCCAGUUGAGCGUCUCAAUAUGUCAUUUGGAACCAAUUCCACUUGUUUUGAAAUAUAGCUUGGUAAUACAUAUGCCAAGCCCAAUUAACAGGCGUAUUAUGAAGAGUUUUACAUUUUAACUAAGAAUUAAUUGGAGUUUCCAAACUCUCUAAAUCCUUACAGUUGUGUCAUUCAUGAUUAUAUGCUCAGCUAGUUCACGGUAAUUGCAUCGCCGAAUUUGGUGACUUAACAAUUGUAAGAAUACUUAUAGCGGAUCAAUGUGAUUUCGCGUGGUAUAUGUAAUUUUCAUUUCUGACCACUUACCAAACGCGACUGUAACACACAGCUGCGGCAAAAGGGACAACCCCUGGAGUAGGAAAUCUUCACCGAAAUGGCUUCGUGUUGGACGGUUUUCCUCAAACCAGCGGACAAGCAAUGGCAAUGGAGAAGUGCUUGACAGGCAUUGAUUUCGAAGCACAGGAGGCCAAAAAUGCCAAAGCUUCUAAAAUUGCCCCUCCUCCUGAACCUGUAAGUGGGUUCCUGAAAGGUGAUUUGUAUUGAAAGUGCUUUGUCUCAGAUUUGACUGGAAGUGGUUGGUUGUUGGUUAAAAUUGUUCGAGAGUAAAUAUAUGAAGGUGUUGGAAUGACAAGUUCCAGGCUAUCACAAUUAUGGCAGUGUCGUGUUGCAAGAAUAAUAGCUUGAUUUAAAGAACUGUUGUGAAUUCGCUUCGUGUUGUGAAUUGAACUAUGUAAGGUUUCAAAAUGAUUGAUCAGGGAGUUCGACAGCUAGAAAAAUCAGGACUUGAUGCUUAUCUUGUAAUUGAAUCACCUCCUGAGGAUGAGGUCUUAAGGAAAUUGUCAGCCAGUGUUAUUGACCCUGCAAUAGGAUGCAAUUAUCAUCCACUGACAAAUCCUGUACCUCCAAAUGAUAAAACGUAAGUUACAAUUGCUCUCUCUAUCAAACAUCUAAUCAAUGAGCUAUGAUUGUAGUCAGGAUUACCCCCACUUCAAGUGCACUUAAGAAUUAUUUUUUAAAAAUUUCGAAUUAAACUGAGAAUUGACUCGUACCUGUCUAACAGUGGGAUUGUGGAGCGCCUCCAACCAGUGGAAUCUGUGGAGGUGAUUCGUGCAAAACUUGCUACUGAAGCUGAGAUAACUCGAGAUUGCUUCAAGAUCUUGCGCAGGUUUGACAAUUUGCUUAACGUGCCGCAACAUCUUGGUGAGAACGGAAUUAUGACUCCAGAAGUUGAGCAUGCAAUGGCAGCUAUUAACAUAUUAAUCAACAGCAAAGCUAGAUAUAAGGCAAUACAAAGUGCAGCUGAUGCUGCAAAAUCGGCGGUCGAAGUGGCAACUCAGGUGAUCUUGCUUAGCUGUAUUUAAUUGUCUUUAUGUGGAUUUUUCUCAAAUUAAGAAUGUUCAGAGGUGUGAGCCUUGAAAUGGCACGUGAAUUUUUUUGGUUAACAAGAGCUUCGAUUUCUUGUUAAGCUUUGAUGUCUAAAUAAGUCAGAAAAUAAUGCGGCUGUAAACAAAAUAAUAAUACAUGAUUUAAUGAUUUUGAAUAAGGUAAUUUUUUUUUGGAAUUCAUUGAGGGAUAGAUUAUUUUGACAUUAUGUUAUGCAAUGCUAAAAGUUUGAACGUCCCUCUGAAGAGCACUUGAAUUAUAGCGUUGAGAGUCUAUAAAAUGUGUUAGUACACUGAAAGUGCAAUCGUCUUCUGAAUUGCACUUUGCGGAGUGAAUAUGUGAUUCAAAUUCUCAACUCAUCUUCCAAAGAGUUACCGAAUGCAUGCUUCCAUGAUCCUUGUAGUGUUGAUAAUAUUUUAAAUCGCAAUACAGGCAAACCAGGAAGUUGAAACAGCCAGCAAUGCAGCGAAGGAAAUGGCUAAAGUUUUCUUCAAUGCAAAGCUGGCAGAGGUGAAGGCAGAGGUGAAGGCAGAGCAAGCGAUCGCUGCCAGAAGUGAAGCGCCAUCGAUUACAAUUUCUAGUGAGGCAGCUGUAAAAAUGCUUGAUGAAAUUACCAAAGCUGUGCAAGGGGCCCAAGAUGCUGCAGCAGCUUCGUUAGCCGCAGCUGAACAGGCUCAGAACCACGCUCAUGAUUCUCAGGUAACAUACAAUCAGGCAUUGAACUUGUAAAUACCUUCGUGCUGAUUAAGAGAAUACGUGUAAAUGUAGGGUGAUGCGCUCUACAUUGCAGUCAUUAACGGCAUGUCGAUUGCAUUUGCUGUAGCAUUGUACAAAAAAGAUGCAUUUGUUAGUUGACAAGGUGUGCGUGAAUCCGUUUUACUAUGUUGUUUUUGACACAAGCUGUUUGAAUCUGAGUAGAUGAUUGAAGGGGAUCCUCAGGCAUCUAAUAUUUCCCAAGAAGAAGCAGAGAAAGCACUAGCGGUUGCCAGAGCGGAAACAGCUAAGGCUGCAGCUGCAAGUGCAAACGCUUCUGCUCUCUUAGAAAAAGCUAAGGCUAUGGCUGCAAGUGCAAAGGCUUCUGCUACCUUGGUGAAAGCAAAGGACAAGGCUGCAGGCUUUCGACCGCCAGCACUUCCUCCUUCGAAUCGACCACCAGCAGCCGCUCCGUCGAAUCGGCCGCCGCCGAUGGUAAGCUUGGAUGCAUCUCGUCCAGAAUAAUUACGACAUUCAUGGUGAGUAUGUCCAGAGUUUUACUGAUCCACCUAUCCUAUUUUCUUAACAACUUACUAUCUGGGAUGACAUGCUACAGAAAGAAUCACCUGAGGAAUUUGUGAAGCCUCCACCAGAUCCAGUUCUGGUUGAGAAAGUGAAGAAUGCAGGUAGAGUGUUUGUCUAUCUGAUUGCAUUAUUAAAUUUCUAACAGUUCAAUUGUCGUGAGAAUAUAUUAACUUGUAAAGAUAUUGGAUGUGGAUAUGUGAUGCAAAAUUUCAUGUGUGGGAAAGUUUUGUGCAGAGUUGGUUCAUGAGAUCUGGGAAAAAUUAGAAAAGAAGUAUUUGGAGACAAUACAAGAGGCAUUUAGGCUCUUGAUUUACGAACGUGAGCGCACAAUACCGUUGCUUAUUGAGGUAACUGUAUUUCUCCUUCAUCAGAAUAUGUAUAUCUUUAUCGGUUGAUAUACUAACGCACCGUAUCUUUACUCUUGACAUUAAAUAAUUGAUUGUGUCCAUUCAUUCCAGAGUUGGUGUAUUUUCUUCCUUCAAUUUGCGCAGUUAUUGUGAUUGGAAAGUUGAUAUAUAGCUUCACAGUGAUUUCAUCGUUCAGAGAGAGCUAGUUUGAAUUGUGGCAACACGCGGCGAUCCAUGAAGUCACUGUCAGGUCGUUACUAGGAGUCAUCAGCCAUCUCUCUUUAAGGUGUCUCGGUUAUAGACUGUUUUUAUGAUUUGGGUGGUUGGAAAUACAGUGGUCCCAAUUUUUAGACUUAAGUGUGGUAUGAACAGCUUGAGAAAUUUUGUGAAGAACAGAGCUACAUUGGAAACGUUUGAACUGUUUAACCAUCUUUUAUAUGCAUUUGAUCAACCGCCUGAGCUGCCUACAGGUGAAAAGGAACUUCAUUGCGCUGUUACAGCAGGAUAAUGGAAAGCAGGAUCUCUUCGACGACUUUCAGGUUUUGUCUACAUGGUUCCGUUUUACAUCAGCUUUGAGCACAUGCAUGCAAUAUUUGCUGAGUUGCUUAUAUCAACUUUAGGUCAUUGAUGUGUUUGUGAAAUAAGUUGUGAAAUAAACUGAUUUCAUAUAAUUUGCUAGAUACUUAACCUUAGCAUAUGUCCUUUAUAAAAAUAAUGAAAUCAUUUCUUUUUUUCAUAGGGUCGGUGGAAUAGGAUUGAACUGGGCCAUCGGCGCAACAAAGUGAUGAGAGCGAGACUGCAUGAAGAGGGAAGCAGAUUUGGAGAAACAUUGCGCUCGCUCGCUCGGGAAAGGCUUCAGGUCUACCCAGAUUUCAUGACUUACUUGGCAGAUAAUGAUAGUUAUCAGCCGAGUAAUUUGGAGUGGAGAAUACUGUGGUCACAUAAGACACUGACUCGCUGGCCUUGGUAAUUGCUCGAAGUAUGACCAAAGGCCUGCACUAAAUUUCGAGUCAGCCUUCAUCGUUGCUAUUAAUUUCGUUUUAAACGCAGAGUAACAUUUUGGUAGUAUUGAGAAACUAGUGGGUAGGGUGCCAUUGCGGCUGGAACUCAGCAAAAUUAGAUUUCUCUACAGAUAAUCUUGACGUGCAAACCUUAUGGAGAGCAGAGGACACCUAAGCCCUGUGUCCUCAUAAAUUGAACGAUGAGGUCAUUGUUUGAUCCUCUUAUUGUUUUGCGCACAUAUCUUCUGUACUGGUUGCUCCCUAGCUCAGUGGGUGGCUGUCUGAUUUCUCAUGUGCAGAAUGGAAAAGAUCUUGAGCAGCGGUAUCUCGAGGACUUACUGGAUGAACGAACUGAAACUUUCACCUAUAUUUUUACAAUGCUGGUACAAGCAGAGGUACAUUUGAAAAUAGUAAUGAAAUUGUUGUUUAAUUCAAGGUCAUGUAUCAUCAGAAUGUUUUCAACUUCAUAUACGAAGACUCAAUGAAUUACAUGGUUGCACCUUUUUCCCUGCUUGAACUGAAUCGUCACUAUUUUUGGGUUAUUCAAUUAUGAUGUUUUUUGACUAGACACAAUUUUGGGUGCAUAAAACAGUUGGACAGGCAUAUCGAAUCUUGUGGUUUAUUACACGAACACUAUACAAAAAGAGUUGGCUCUAGUUUUUCAAGCCAGUUUCGGUGCAGCUUGUCAAGUAUUCGCAGACCGCCGGACUGGAGAGUUGGGACUCCAAGAUGGUUAACACCUCUCGAAGGUUCCUAUCCAGAGUUUUACGUGGUGACUAAAGCUAUUUGACCGGAAAUUUGAGCAUAUGUGUUCUUUCUUUUACGUACAUUUUGAAUGGUAUUUGAGAGGUGCUUGCCCUUGUUAGCAAAAUUACACCGUGAUGAUCACAUUGUGUUUUUCGACAUUUUUUUGUCAAUUUUUGGAGUUCUCAUGUGACGAACUAUAUGAUGUAUCUUAUUUACUAUAGGAUUUGCAGUUCAAUAGACUCUGAAGAGCAAUGAAAUAAGAAAUGAUCGUUGUUUUUAAUUUGACUCAUGAGUGUGUUAUUCUUGAAGCAUCACUAUUUGAAUAUUUUUAUGAAUAAAAAACUCACCUAAAAGUUGACAAAUUGAUUUUGCCUGCAGGUUUUGAGCGAGGCCUUAUCCAAGGCGGGCAACCUGCUGGAUGUGAUUGCAGGUAGAGAUGGAUGGGGCACGAAGACACACCCGCGGAAGCCAGUGACAAGAAGAAUGAGUGGUCGUCGCUUGACGUGGAUGCGAGAAGUAAAUCCCAAGUCACGUGAAGAAGUACCGCUUGAACUUGAUGUAGACCCCGCUAUUGCCCGCGAGCAUCAAAUUUUUUCCUAUCGCGUGGAACUCCUGGGUAGAUUACUGUUCUUCACCCCAUGUGAAUGUCUGUCCGACAUAUCGUUGUCACAUGAACAAAUUUUUAUUGAUUUUAUCAAUUGCACAAUUGUUUUUGCAGCAAGGACUGCAUGCAAGUAUCUAGCGGAAUUGCAACCAAUUUGCGAUGGUGCUUAUGGUCAUUUGGAUGAAUGGCUCAUGAGGCGUUGUGAUGUAUGACUCUGACUCCAUGCAGAAACCCAAACCUGAACUAGAUGUUUAAGUUAGCAUUGAUUCUUCGUCUUUCUGAUUGCUAGGGUUCCUUCCUGGCUCCUAUUAUCACGAUAGUCUUUGUGGGCUGUGGUGGGACGAAAAUACUAUUAGUUUUCACAAAACUCUUAUCUUAGCUGUUUCAACGUCCUGUUAUUGUAACCUUGACCACUGGAAUUGGAGAGAUACCUGUAAUUGAACAGGAUACGAUUUGAAGUUCUUCUUUCCAGUUUUUUUUAUAACGAGCCUGUGAGAUUUAACGUUGUUAUUAAUAUUUUAUCCAAUUUUUUCUUAUCAGCAUGAAUCUGCUUUAAUUGAAGAUGUUCGAUCUGUUAUUAUCGAGGCUGCAGAGGAAUGUAUCCCAUUGUGGUAUCGAGUAUGGAUGGAAAUUGAUGAAUUUAAAGUUGAAGAAGAACAAAUCACCACUGUGAGUGUUAUUCUAUGACCUGACCAGGUUUUAGGGCUUAGGGUUUAGAGUGGCAUUGAUAAUUUGUCAUUUGUCUAUUUGCAGAUGGUGCAUGUUCCUCCUGAGCCUAUCAUUGACCUUACACCUUGGCACAUAAAAGUGAUGGAAUCACUUAGUAACAAAUUCAAGGCGUUUAAUGGUAACAAUGUUUCACCAAUCCAAACAUCAAUCUAAGGUUUUAACUCCAUAUUACAAGGUUCUCAAGACAAGUAAAGAAUUUUUGUUGUGAUCCUUAAUAAUGGUUUCUAGUGUGAAUCUGCGAAUAACCAAUUUGAAAAACAACCUCAGCAUUAGAAACGCAUCCAUUUUAUUACUCGUGCUUCCUUGCUUUGUAGGAGACUUUGCUACAACGCAAGAGGUUACUCAAUCAACCUUGUCUGCAAUUGACGAUGUUUACCAGAUGUGGAGGAAUCUUCCAGAACAUAAGAUCUAUCCUCGACUUCCUCGGUAUAAGAGUAGGCGUUACGGGCAUUUUCAGCAUUGGGCGAAUCUGACUAAUGAUAUUGUUGAGGUGCUUGUGCAUCAGAAAACGUUCAAACUUGAUUACGUUUAGAAAUUUUCGAUUUGUUGGAACAGAAGCAGCUAGAAUAUCCCUCGUACAGUGAUGUGUCGAUCCGUAGGUUCAUUCUCAUCUUGAGAUGUAGACACUAACACUGUCGUUGAGGAUUAAUAGAUUUCAGAAAUCAUAAUAAAUAGUUGGACUUAUAAUGUUGGUGUGCAGCAAUCAUGUGGAAAUGAAGAUCCAGGAAUUUCAACUGUUAUUCAAUGGCAACCCUUCCUUGUAUCUCUUGCGGAUGCGCAUUUUGAUUACAUCAUUUCAGCAGCUACAUUAGAAGAUAUUGUACAAGCUCGCACUGGUACUUGCCUUCACACUAUCUCUGCUUGUGCUUGAUUACCGCGAUCCGCCCACAGGGAAUUCUAGUGGUUGAACAGAAGUUUGUCUCUUUUUUUCAAUUUCUUCACAUUCAUCUACCUUUGGGUGGUUCAUAGCUGUUUGACAUCCAUAGUUUAUCGUAAUGUUACCAGUAACUAUUUCUUAAGGAUAUUGACAAUUGGAAGCCUGCCUGUAGCAUAUCCCUUUUAGAAAAUGAAUGUUGUGUUAUAUGACAUAAAUUGAGCUCAUUUGUUUUAGAUUUCUUUAUGGUGGUGGCAACAAAGCAGCCAGGACAUCCAUCUGAAGGAUGCAUCACAUUGGACGACUUUUUGAAUAUUAAAAUGUGGUUUGAUAGGGAAGACUUUGGUAAAUGAUGUCUUGCAAACCAUAUAUGAAUUUGAUAUCUCUAAAGGAGUGUCUACAUUGAUUUUGAACUUACAAGCAGAAUUUAUGUGUUGUAUGCCACGGAUGAAAUUCUUAAGUAUGUUUUGACAGAUGAAUACUCAGAUUACGACACAAACAAUGACGAGGAUGCAGCCAUGGCGGACAAUUAUAAUCUUUCAAAAUCAUUAAAAAUUUAUAUUUUUUCUGCAUUGGAAAGAUCCAACCAACGAUACCAGUACAAGACUGUUGGUCUCCCAUGGCAGACGUUACUCUUGUAUCUUUGCCGAGAUGCAUGUUUGGAAACCGCACUCCGCAAAGUCUUCACUGUGAUUGCCAGCACUAUGUAAGGCAAUUAUGGUUUACUGCUCGAGGCACAAUCUUUCAAGUUCUUAAAUGACAACUAAAUUCAGUUUGGACACAAUCGCAAGACAUUGACUUCGUUCUUGAAGUUCUCCGUUGUGCCAAUGCAGGUCUCCGGAUGAAGCACAAUUGAACCCAACGGAGUUGAUCCAAGCACUAUAUCCAAGUGGAAUUGAUGGUGCCAUAGACGCUGGAUGCAUGACAUGGACCAUUGAGGAUAUUAAGGUACUUCAUACGACUUGUAAUCCAUGUUGUACUUGUCUGCAAGACUUAAGUCGUAAGUAAGUCUAGAAAUAACUUAGAAGUAGAGCAUUAAGAUUAUUUGUUCUCCUUGGCUAGUACACAAUAUGCACUACAUAACUAAUGAAUGAGUUGUGUGCGUGGAGCUUCAGGACGUCCUAUUCAAAGCUGAUCUCGAGAAAGCUACACCUGCCAAGGAGCCUCGGACGUUGCUGUCAUAUGUUAGCAGCGAUACUACGCCAGCAUAUGAAAAAGUAAUCUUUCCAUUGCCAACCUCUUGACUUACACUUAUUUUGAUUCCACCCGAGUUUUAUUAAAAGAAACCUUGAUCGGCAUCUGGUCAAUAGUAACUUGGUAUGUACGUGUUGAACCCACACUAGCAAAUAUAAUCCUCGCCGGUGAAAGAGAUGAGAAUCUGGUGUGGACCCAACACUGACCAAGCCCAUACUUGAAACUUGGCUUCGUGCAGGACACCAUAUCCCAAUUCUUCGACAGUCGAAGCAGCAGCCACCAAUCGCAGAUGAGUGAGUUCGAGCAGGGUUGUACACGCGAAUUUCUGUCGAACGCUAUGCUGGAUUCUGUAUCCAGCAAGGAGGGAACAGUGACUCCAUGGCAAGAAUUGGAGGAGCAUGAGCUCACAGACGCUCCGCCGCAGCAGCAGCCUAUUCCUGCUCGGCUCACAGUGGAGGAUUGUGUGAAGUUGAGUGCCACUGCUAAGCUAUGCAGCUCUCUGGCUGCCAUCUUUCGACAACAUUCUGUGAAUGUCACUCAAAUUGCAUCAGACCGAAAAUGACUAUACCUCUCUUUGUUUGAUUUUGUGGUCACACCCACCCAACUUCGAUCGUUCUGACGGGUAUUGAUAUCUUCGUCUCCGAUGUGAGGUUGGAAGCUGGAUGUCUGUUGAUUUAUGUUGUUUUGUAUAGUUUUGUGUAGUUUUUGUGCUUGUAUUCCGGACUUGUGGUGGCUUUCAUUCUCGCAUGGCUCUCUUAUGAGCUUGCUUUUUAUACGAUUCGUUUAUGGGAAAGAAGAUUAGAUGAUUUUUAUAAUUAUGUGUUUUAGAAAUCAUUUGUAUUUGUUGAGAAUGUUUAGAAAGACACAAGAGUAAUAGUAAGUCAUACACACAAUAGGAUUUCUAAGGAGAGAGAGCUUCAUACAUAAAAAUUCUAUUGAUGAUGAUAAACAAUACUUCUCUACUAGACUCUAAAUAUUGUAGCUACAGUAUUUAUUGUAGUCUACAAUAAAUAUUAUGGAGAGCGUCGAUUACAUUUAAUGAUCUCAACACUCCUCCUCGCUUAUCAUAAUAUUUACAUAAUAUAAAAUUUGUAUAGAAUUAUGAUCUAUACUUUUCUGUGAUCUUUCAAGAUCAACAAUUGUUGCUUCAUUAAAACCUUAUCUAAGAAAAUCUUAUUAUAUUUAAGGACAAAACCAUAGAUGAAGGAAAAAGAGUACAACAUCAUUUUUUUUAAUUAUUUAAGGAGCUCAUUAACUUUCUUAUUCAAGAAAAUCAAGUCACCGCAUAUCAAUGCCAUAAGUAAGUCGAUGAUGGUUGCACAAUGGGAGAGCUUUGGCGAAGAGAUUAGCAAGGUUAUUUAUAAAUUCAAUUUUCUUAAUUAUAAGUGUUUGAUUAGUAAUCAACUCAUGGGUAUAACUAAAAUACUUUGGAUCAAUAUGCUUAGUCCUGUUGCCUUUAAUGAAACCAACUUGCAUUUGUGCAAUACAAGCACUGUUAUCUUCAUGCAAGAUAGUUGGAGAAUCAUCAUAUGAAAAUCCACAGGUUGUUUGAAGGAAUUUAUCAAUUGAUCGCAACCAAAUACAUUCUCGAGAUGCUUCAUGUAAGGCAAUAAUUUCUGCAUGGUUGGAUGAAGUUGCAGUUACUGUUUGUUUUACUGAUUUCCAUGAUAUUGUAGCUCCAUGUUUUAAAAAUACAUAUCCUGUUUGAAAUUUAAUUGUUGCAGUAUCAGAUUUAUAUCCUGCAUCACAAUAUCCAACCAAUUUUGGAUUUACUGAUUGUAUGUAGUAUAAUUUCAAGUCUUCAGUACCUUUUAAAUAACGUAAUAAAUAUUUGAUGUCAUUCCAAUGUCGUAGUGUUGGACGUACACUAUGUCUUGCAAAAAUACUAACUGCAAUUGCAAUAUCUAGUCUUGUAAAUGUAGUUAAAUACAAAAGUACUCCAACUACUGCGAGGUAUGGAUAUUGAUCUCCCAAUAUUUCCUCCUCCUCCUUCUUACAUGGACCGUAUGGAUCAUGACCAUCACGACCAUGUCCAACCAUUAGUGUGGACAAUGGAUAAGCAUCAAUCAUAUUAAAUCUUCACAAGAUUUGUCUAAUAUACAUUAGUUUGUAGAAAAAAAUACUACCAUCUAUUAGAUGCAUAAUCUGAAGACCAAUGAUGAAAGUUGUUUUUCCUAGCAUUUUCAUUUCAAAUUUACGUAUAAGUAGGUUAGUAGCUGUAAUACAUGUAGAUGUAGUGUCCACUAGGUUAAGAUCAUCAACAUAUACAACAAUGAUCACAAAACCAAUUUUAUCUCAUUUGAUAAACAAACUAGGGAUUAGUGGAUCACUUAUAAAAUUAUUUAUAAUUAAAUAAUCUCAAAGAUAUUGAUACCACAUGCGUCCGGAUUGUUUUAAACCAUACAAGGCCUUACAUAAUUUAAUACCACGAUAUAGUUCUGGAGUGGGUCGAUGUGGAGUUCAUGUUUCUAAGUCAUGUGGAACUUUCAUAUAAAUAUUUGCAUCAAGAGAACCAUAUAGAUAUGCAGUUACUACAUCCAUCAGAUGCAUCUCAAAGGUGGCAUGAACUGUCAUUCCAAUAAUAUAUCGAAAUGUAAUUGAAUCCAUGACUGGAGAAUAUGUGGAUUCAUAAUCAAUGCCAAAUUGUUGAAUAAAUCCUUGAGCAACAAGACGAGCUUUAUAGUGGAUUAUUUGGCCUUAAGCAUCUUGCUUGCAUAUUAAUACCAUUUUAUAUCCCACAGGGCGAGAUGUAAGAGUAUCUACAAUUAGACCAAAGACUUUCUUCUUACGCAAAUAGGCAUAUUCCUCUUUAAUAGUAAUUUUUUUUAUUUUGACCAAUCAGAGCGAUGCAUCGCCUUCUCGAUGGUUUGAGGUUCAGGAUCGUCUUCCUUGGAAGAAAAGGCUUUUAUAAUCAUAUAUGCAAAUGAUUCAUCUACUGUAAUAGAUGGUCUAUUCCAAAUAUCAUUUGUAGUACAAUACAUAAUAGAUAAUUCUUUACUCAAGUUGUUCUUAUUCCUUCCAAUUCCAAGAUUGUUUUUCAUAGGAAUUGAAGGUACAUUGUGCAUGGAUAUAUCAUCAUGAAUUCAUAGUCCCGCAAGAUGACUGACAAUUUCUUGAGAAAUAAUACCACAAUUAGUCAAUUUUAUAGCUUUCUUCUUACGUGGUUGUUCUUCUCUUCCACGAAUUCUUUUAGUUGUUGUUGUUAUAACUUGAGGUAUUAUAGUCAAUGACACUGCAAUCUGAGCAGGUGCAUUCUGAGCCUCAUUAAUAGGAACUCUUGUAAUUCUAGGUACAUCAUUGAAGCCAUCAGAUGUUUCAUCUAGGAUCUGUUUUAGAUGCAAAAUCUUAGCAACUUCAAUUUUUGCCAAAAAUGUCCUAAGAUCAAAAUUCAUUGUAAACGUUUUUGGUGCUUCAAAUAUGAGUACUGUAUUUCUUUGUUGAUUAGAUACUCUUUCUUGAAGAGAUGGGAAUACAUUUUCUUCAAAACGGCAAUUUUAUAAACAUGCACGUAAUAAUGUGCCAUUUGAUGGAUCAACAAUACAAAUAAUGCUUGGUGAAUCAAAACCAACAUAUAUGCCUUCUUAUCGAUGAGCUCCAAUGGUAUGUCAUUGAGGUUCUGGUAUUGGAAUCCAAGCACGGCAACCAAAUAGUCGUAAGUAAGAUACAUUUAGAACACGACCCAAAAUGAGCUCAUGUGGUGAAACAAUUUCAAGAAAAGAAAGGCAGAGGCGUAUUAAUGGUGUAGUAUGUAAAACUGCAUGACCCCACAUAGAUGCAGGUAAAUUUGCAUGAAAGAGGAGUGGUUGGAUAAUGAGUUGUAUAUGCUUUAUAAAUGACUCUACAAGUCUAUUUUGAGCAUAUUCAUAUAGAAUACAAUAUAUCAAUUCAAUUCAUGUUGUAAUACAAUAGUCUUCAAAAGACUUUGAUGUGAAUUCUUUUGCAUUAUCCAUACAUAAUUUUUUUAUAUGAUAAUCAAGGAAAUAUACCUGAAAAUAAAUAAGCAUAGAUAUAAGAUUGGCAAACACCAUGUUUCGAGUUGAUAAUAAUCAAACAUGUGAUUGUUUACCUGAUGCAUCAACAAGAACCAAAAAAUAACAAAAUGGUCCUAAUAUUGGAUUAAUAGGACCACAAAUAUUACCAUGCAAUCUUUUAAGCAUUGGUGGUAAUUCUUGUGGAAGUUUUCAAAUUGAAGGCUGAGUAAUCAUUUUAACUUGCACACAUACACGACAUAAUUUCAUAGAAUCUACAUCCGUAGGAUUUAAAUUGUGCCCAGUUAUACAUAGAAUGAUCUUUCUAAAUAAUGUGGAUCCUGGAUGUUCCAAUUGUCCAUACCAGAGAGAAACACGAUUCUUUGUGAUAGAUGAUGCAAAAUCAAAUAUAAUGGGAGGCCAAAUCACAAUUCGGUAUAAACCAUUUUGUGUAGCAAAAGCUUUUUUAACAACUUUAUCCUUCUUCAUAAGAACCAAAACCUCUUUUCUAUUUAAAGUGACGGUCGAGAGGUGAUAACCAUUAAUACAUACAUUUCAGUAGUUGAUCAAACUCCGAGGUGCUGAGGGUGCAAACAUCGCAUGUUUACAAUUUAUGAUGGAACCCGCAGGUAAUUUUACCAUCGUUGUGCCUUCUUGGAAACAAAAUUCAUUUGUUCCAGCCAUGAUCAUCAUAUUUUUAGUUUGCCAAGUUGAAGAUUUUUGAAUAAAAAAUCGUCUAUCUUGUAAGAUAGUAUGUAUUGUUGCAGAAUCAAUGAGUGCAUCAUUAGAGGUUUUGUCAUUCAUAUAAGCCUCUAAGUCAUCAACACCAAUUGAAUCCAUUGACGCAUCUAUGGUAUGAACUUCACGAGUCUCAGCUCAUAGUUUCUUAUUUUCUUGGAAUAUUUUAAUAAAAUAUUCUGAAAUACGGCAUGGAUGUGCUAAAUGUCCAAUCAUUCCAUACUUAUGACAAGAACGUAUCUCUGAUUUUUAUUUUCUACUAUAAUUAAUAGUAGACCGUUUAUUCUUUCCAUAUGGAUAGAAAUGGUCAUGACUAUGACUACCGUGAUACUUAUGAGCACGUUUUCCAUGUUUAUAUAAUUUCUUCUUAGACUUUAAAAUAUUAAGUGCAUGAGAUUCUGGAACUAUAGUUCUAAUAGGAUAAGCUUCCGCAUUGCGCAAGAGUAGCUCAUUUUGCUUCACUGCAAGAAGUAGAUAGGACAUGAGAUUAGAAUAACUCUGAAAUUUCAUGUUCAUGUAUUGUUGUGCAAGCACAAUAGAUAUAGAAAGAAAUGUAGAGAGAGUUUUUUCAAUCAUUUCUUCUUCAGAAAUGCUUUGUCUAUAUAAUUGUAAUCAUAAUUGUAAGACAAUACUAUACAUUUUACUAUUGAAAGCAUUUAAAUUUGGAAAAUCCAAGACACAUAAAUGUGUCCAAUUAUAAUGUGCACGUGGAAGAAAAAUGGUCUUUUGAUGAUCAAAACUGGAUUUAAGAUUCUUUCAAAGUUCUAUAGGAUCUUCCAUUUCUAAAUAUUGAUGUUGUAAUACAGGUACAAGAUGACAACGAAGAAGAAGAAGUGCUUUCCAAUGAAUAGCAGGAGGUAUAGAAAUACUUAUUGUAGGAGAUUCUUCAAACAUAAUGGUAUCCGAGAGUUGUUCUACAAAUAAAUUUACUUUUGCCAUUUUUGUCCAUAAUAGAUAAUUGUUUCCAUCCACAGUCAAUGGUGGAAAUAAAAGAGCUUGAAAAUAUUGGGAUGCACUAGUAAUAGUUGGAACCAUAGUAGAAGCAGUUGAAGAUGUUGAAGCACUCAUUAUAAAUAAAUGUAUAAAGAAAAUAUAAGAUCAAAUAAAAAAGUUGAGUAAAAUGUAUCUUAAAAUAUAAAGUCAAAUAAAAUGAUAAACUUGAACUUGAAAAAUAAAAUUAUAUAUAUUUAUAUAUAUAUUUAGGGAGGUUGUGGAUUAAGACAACAAAAUAACAAUAAGAUGGCAGCAGUAGGCAGCGGUAGGGUGACAAGGUGGUAGCGGCAGGUAGCGGCGGGCGGCAGUAACAGCAGUGGAUUUGAUGGCAAUUCAGCAGCUAUUCGGUAGCAAUUUGGCGGUAGUUUGGCGACUGUUUGGUGGCAGUUUGAGACGCAGCAGGGAGCAAGCUGGGAUAGAGCUGGGUUGGAUCAAAUAUUUUAAACAAGUAUUCUAAGCAAGCAAGACAGAGAGUGGAAGAAGUAUUCUAAGCAAGCAGCUAAUGUGUGAGGGGCCAACAAGAAGAGCAACAAGAUCAUGAGACAGACACUAAGCAAGAAUAGCAACAAGUUUGAAGAGUCAAGACUAGAGCAAAAAAAAUUAUGAUAGUGUGUAGAAGAGAGUCGUAUUGAUAACAUAUUGAGAAUGUUUAGAAAGAUAGAAGAAUAAUAGUAAGUCAAAUACUUACACAAGAGUAGUAGUAAGUCAUACAUACAAGAGGGUUUCUAAGGAGAAAGUGCUUCAAACAUAAAAAUUCUAUUGAUCUGGUUGUGUCUCGUAUACAAGAAGAGAAAAAGGGAGAUGAUGAACAGUACUUCUCUAUUAGUUUCUAAAUAUUAUAGCUAUGGUAUUUAUUGUAGUCUACAAUAAAUAUUAUGGAGAGCGCUAGCUACAUUUAAUGAUCUCAAUAGUAUUCAAAUCAGUAAUCUGAAGAUAAUCAAUCAUUCUUUCAAUAUAAUAAAAUAUCAUAUAUCAUUAAUAUCACGAAGGUCAUAAUUAUUGUAAUUAAUAAAAUAAAAUAAAAUCAUUGCAAGUAAUUCUACAUUUACAUAUUCACUUACUUGGAUAAAAUUUGAGAAUUUUGUUACACAAUUUCAUUGCAUUGUAUAUGAUUCAAAUAUUUUUUAUAUCUAUACAUACAUAUAUAUAUAUAUAUAUAUAUAUAUAUAUAUAUAUAUAACACUAAGACGAAAUUUUUAAUUAAAAUUUUGAUUGAAAGUUUAAUACAAUAGAAAUUUAAAUCAAAGAAUAAAAUUUAAGUGUACCAUAAUUUUGAUUAUAUUACUUCAAUAAAUAUAUCUUUUAAAGUAUUGAGAAUUAAUUUAUAAAUAAAAACUUAGUUUAUCAAAAAACUACAAGGAUAUUUUAAAAUCAAUACACAAUAUCAUAAUUUAUAAUAUAAUAAAUAUUCUAAAAUUCAUAUUUAUCUUAAUUUAGUAUUUGCAAGGAAUUCAAAAUUUUACUCUAAGAUUUUGAAUGUUUUGUAAAAUACACAAUAUGUGCUAAAGUGUUCUUUAUGGAAAGUAUUACAUUACCAAUUUUACUUGUAAAAAACUCUAGUCUUGUAUUAGUUCUUCCAAAAGAAAUUAUAUAUAUAUAUAUAUAUAUAUAUAUAUACAGGAAUGUUAAAUAGAUCUACGUUUUUACUAAAUUAUCCUACCCGUGAUGAAGAAUAUGACAAUCAUGAUGAAUUUGGUGGAUUUCCAUUGGUUUGGGAUCCAAUAAUGGAGAAAUAAUUGUAGCAAUCAUAUUCUUUUUAUAAUAAUAUUAAAUUUUAUGAUACUUUUUUAAUAUAUUUUAAUUAAAGUAUAAAUUUUAGUUUAUAAAAUAAUAAGUUAAUUAUUAUAAUUUUUAAAAAUAAUUUAUAUGAUAUAUAUAUAUAUAUAUAUAUAUAUAUAUAUAUUACCUAUAUUAUAAUAGUUGAUUUAUAUAAAUAAUAAUAAUAUUGUGUUUGAUAUAUCUUUUAUAAGUAUUUGUAAGAUAACUUCUUUAAUAGUUGUAGAAUUGAAUAUAGGAUUUUUUAAACUUAUCCUAAAAUGAAGUAAUUUAAAAAAUAAAAAAAUAAAUUAUAAUUUUAAAUUAUACAUUUGGUGAUAUUUUUAUUAAAAUAAAUAACUAUAAAUUUAAACAAAUGUAAUUUUAAAGUAAUUAGUUUCAAAUCAAUGAUUUAUUGCUAUCAAUGUCUUUUGAUGUUAAAAGCACACAAUAAUAUAAUAAAUAAGUAAAUAAAAUGAUGAUGAUAAUAAUAAUAUUAUUAUUAUUAUUGGUUUUUUUUAAUAAAUCAUGUUCUCAUUAUUUUAUAAUUUAAAAAAAAAACAUAAUUAGUAUUGUGAUUAGAUUUUAGAAACUACUUGUAAGUUAGUAUAAGAUAAAAUAGUAAUAUUUCAAUAUAAGAUUGAACUUUAAAAAAAAUUGAUGAUAAUAAUUAUAAUUGAGUUUGACUUAGUAAUCAAUUUGAUUGCUAUUAUAGCAAAUAGACAAAAAUAAUGAAAAGAAUCAAAGCUACUAGACGUACUUUCAUCCUAUAUUUAAGUAUUUUAUUCCUUAUUUAAUUCUUUGGAUUCAAAAAGAUAUUAGUUAUUAAAUUUUAAUUUCUUAUAAUAUUAUAUUUCAAAAAAAAAAAAAUAUAGUCUUUAUAUAUAUAUAUAUAUAUAUAUAUAUAUAUAUAUAUAUAUAUAUAUAUAUAUAUAAUUAUUAAAUUGAUUCAAGUAUUUAUUAAAUCAACCCACCUAUCUUAACCAUCAUCAAAAAAAAUUCUACUAUUAUAUCUAUAUUGAUAAAAAAUGAAUAAAAAAAUGGUUGGAUCUUCAACCAAUGAUGAUGGAUGAGUUGAUUUAAUAAAUGCUUGGAUCACUUUAAUAAUUAUUUGUAUUUUUAUAUACAUAAAGGAGAAUGAUAAAGCAAUUCAAAUUUUUAUUAAAACAACCUAUCCAUCAUCACAAUAAUAAAUAAAUAACUAUUUUUAGAUUCAUUUUUUACUAUUAGAUCUGCAAUCAAUGAAAAAAAUUACAUUCAUUCAUAAUCAUGAUAAUCUAAUCUUUAUUGCCACCAUCUACAAUAAUCGUUAUAAUAUUCUUUAAUUAUAGAAUCCUAAUCAUUUGUUUAAAUAAGUGAGGAAUCUACCACAGAUUUAUCUCAUUGCCUCACUUUCCAUUGAAAUGAGAGCUAGAUUGGCCUAUCCUACCACCUUCCUUUCUCUACAUUGCUACCCUAUCUUAUUUGCUUGUUUGUAGUAUUUGAUAUUGAAAUCAUCAUUACAAGAAUUUUUCUUUCAAUCUGAAACAUGCAUGUUUUUGUGAGCAUUUUGUUUGCAUGAGAUGUUUUUUGUUGAAGAGAUUUCAAGAUCUCGUUGAGUAGUUGGAAAGUUCUUAAAUUUUUGGAGAUUGCAGCAAAAAAUUUGUCACACUUGUAAUAUAGUGCCUACAUCUAUGGAUCAAUAAUUUUAUAUGGAAGAAGGCUAUUAUUGUGGAGUUUAAUUAUUAUAUACAAACCUUUUCUUAGAAUAUUUCAUUUAAAAAAAUCAAGUUUAGGAAUGGUUUUGUGAGCCAUGUGAUAGGAUUUGUAUUGAUAUGUCACGGACACAGAAUACAGACUUGAUAUCUACCAAGAAGUUCAAGAAGAACUGGCAACAACUAGAUUAAUCAGAUGAAUACAAGAACAACACCAGAGAGGUGAGCUAGAGCUCCAAGAGAUGUAUUGUCAAGAUUGAAGAACUCUUCAGCCUCGAUUCCAAAAUAUACUCCCAUUUAGGAAGCUUCUCAAGCAACUUCUACCAACUAGGAAGCUUUUAGAAGGUUCCAGAGACUUGCUUCUAGAAGGUUCUAGAAACUUAUCUCUAGAAGGUUCUAAGGACAAUGUCCCUAACAUCUUCUACCAACUAAGAAGCUUCUAGAAGGUUCCAGAGACUUGCUUCUAGAAGGUUCUAGAAACUUGUCUCUAAAAGGUUCUAAGGACUAUGUUCCUAACAUCACCCCCUCCUUUAGCUUUGAGGUCUCUGAGAAGCAAUGUUGUUGUCAAUCAGUACCAACGCAAGAAAAUGAAGAUCUGUCGCAUAACGUCUGCUAUGAACUCCAACUGUUGUUCACGAGGUAAGUAGUUCAUCGACCCUUGAAGCCAAUGGUAGUAGCCCACUCCUUCAACUUCUGACUAAGCAUGAACUUCCAUGUCUUCAUUGUGAAAUUGUCCUGCAAAUAUGCCUUCUGGUUGACCAUCGUAAGCAGGCUCGGACUCAAAUACAAUCACCAGUGAUCGGUUACUUGGUAUCCUCCGUCGUCGUCAUGGUACAGGUAGUUCUUCAUCUCGGGGUCGCCUUCGUGAACUAGUUGGUUGACAUAAUCUGACUGGCAUAGUACCUAUCUCUUGGCUAUCCAUAUCAGAAGACCAAACUAUGGCUAUUGAAAAAAUUCUAUUUUAUCUUGGAGAAAAUAACUACAUCAACUACGAAUUUUGGUGGUGCUCUCUCCUUUUCUUAUAUUCUUGGGUGAGCAAGCUUCAGAAAGAAGCUAUUGUCGAACCGGCUUAGGUUUAUGAGGAUGUUGUUGAUGAAACUCCUGUACCUUUUGCCGCGCAUUGGUGUGAUUUUCAGUUGGCUCCCUCGUUUGCUCAUUAAUGUCGUAGCCGCACCAAUGAACAAGAUACUCCAACUUGCCCCACCUUCGUUGAAAAUCCAGCACCUUUUCAACCUCGUAUUCCUCGUGGUUCUCGAUCUCAAUACUAGGUGGCGGACAUUGCACUCUUCCAGGAAAAGAUGACUCUCGAUAAGGCUCCAACAAAGAAACAUGAAAGACUGGAUGUACCUUCAUAGAAGCCGGUAAUUUCAGAUGAUACGCCACUGGAUUGAUUUGCUUUUGGAUGAUAAAUGGUCCCAAUCUUCGAUAGUCCAACUUAUCACAUGGUCACUUGGUCUUGAUAUUACGUCGAAGAAGCCAUGCUUUAUCUCCAAUUUUGAAAGUAGGUGCUUGAUUCCGAAAUCUAUCUGCAGACGCCUUGUAGGAUUCUUGAGCGGAUUGUAAUUGAAGCUUCAACGUAUUUUGAAGCUCUGAUAGUUGUUUCGCAAAUCCUUCAGCAGUUGGAUUGUUAUUUGUUGAUGGACUCAAUAAAUCAAGCUUUGGAUGAUACCCAUAGUUGGAAAAGAAUGGUGUGUAUUGAGUCAACGCAUGGAGGGUGUUGUUAUAUGCAAACUCGGCUAGCGGCAGAUAUGUGGUCCAAUCGUCUUACUGAUAGUUGAUGCUGCAUCAUAAGUAUUGUUCCAAGACUUGGUUCACCCGUUCCGUUUGAUCGUCAGUUUGAGGAUGAAAAGCCGAAGAAAGCUUGAUAUCUACCUUCAGUAUCUCAAAGAGAGAUCUCCAAAACUUCGAUACGAACUGGGUUCCUCGAUCUGAUACGAUAUCAUCUGGUAGUCCAUGAUAUCGAUACACAUUAUCGAGAAAGAGCCUUGCUGUGACUUCACUGAACGAUGUCUUCUUGCUAGGGACAAAGUGUGUCAUUUUUGUAAGCCGAUCUACCACGACAAAGAUGCUAUCAAAUGAGUUCGAUGAUGGCAGGUCCGUGAUGAAGUCCAUGGAAAUUGAAGACCAUGGUCGACGUGGAAUCGGCAAUGGCUGUAGGAGUCCAUAAGGGCGAUGCCGAGGAUUCUUGGAUCUUGAACAGAUGUCGCAGGAGAGGACAAAAUCUUUCACAUCCUUCCACAUUUGGGGCCACCAAAAAUCUCGAGAAAUAAGCUCCAAGGUCUUGUUGAAUCCAAAAUGUCCCACAGCUGGAAAAUUGGCAAGAUUGAAGAACUCGAAGUCGUGCUGGUCUUUUUGGGAUAUAUAAUCGCUCUUCAAAGUAUAAAAGAUCUCCCUCCACCUUGAACUUGUCGUCGUUGGCACGCUGCUUAAUAUCAAUGGCUAUUGAAUCUUCAAUGGGUACGGCACAUACCUGAUUCAGGAAGUCAUCAUCAAUUGGCAUAAUAGUAGCGCAAAGCUAAAAUUGCUCUGGCUUCAACAAUGUCGUACAUUAUUGAUCAAACGCUCCUUCUCCAGCCUUUGGUACAAGAUACAAUCUCCUCGAUAAGGCAUCAGAUAGUCCUUGCUGCUUUUCAGGUCGAUAAGUGAUAAUAAAAUCGAACCUAGAUAGCAACAUACUCCAUCGAGCUUGACGUCGAUUUAGAACUCGAGCCGACAUGAAAUACUCCAAAUUCUUGUGUUCUGUGUAUACGGUCGCUGGAUGUGCAGCUCCUUCAAGAAAGUGACGCCAUUCUUGGAAAGAAUCCACUAUAGCAAGAAGUUCCUUAUCGUGGAUCUCAUAAUUGAUUUCAGCAGCAGAGAACUUUCGAGAAUAGAAUGCAACCGGAUGGAGCUUCUUGUCUUCUCCCAUUCGUGAAAGUACAGCUCCCAAAGCAAAAUCCGAAGCAUCAGUUUCUAAAUAGAAGGCCUUUGUAAAGUCUGGAUGUACUAAGAUUGGAGCCGUAGUAAAUGCGGUCUUCAGGUUUUGAAACGCCUUCUCUGCUAGAGGUCCUCAUUCCAGCUUAUCUUUGCAUGUCAACCGAGUGAGAGGAGCAGCAACUUGAGAGUAAUUCUUGAUAAAGAUCCGAUAGAAGUUGGCAAAACCAAGAAAACAUUGUACGUCUCUAACCGUCUUCGGAACCUCCCAAGACACAAUUGCUUCCACCUUCUUGGGGUCCAUCUUCAAGCCUUUCGUAGUCGCAACGAACCCCAAAAACUCCAUCUCUAUUUGGUGAAAUAAACACUUCUCCAACUUGGCAUAUAGUUCUCGCUUGCAUAGUUUCUCCAAUACCAAACGAACGUAUUUUUCAUGCUCUUCCUCAUUUUUGGAGAAUAUCAAACUAUCAUCCAAAUAGAUGACAACAAAAUCGUCAAGGUACUCUCAGAAAAUGUCAUUCAUCAUAUGUUGAAAGACCACUAGAGCAUUGGUAAGACCAAAGGGCAUGACAUUAUAUUCAAAAUGGCCAUACCUUGUACGGAAUGUUGUCUUCCACUCAUCUCCUUCCUUGAUUCGUACGAGGUUGUAAGCUCCCCUUAGAUCAAUUUUUGUAAAGAUCCUUGUACGUCCAAGUUGUUCUAAGAGACUUGAAAUCAAGAGUAACGGAUAACGAUUCUUCUUUGUUACUUUGUUGAGGCCUCGAUAGUCCACGCACAUCCGCAACGAGCCAUCUUUCUUCUUCACAAAUAAGAUGGGUGCCCCAGCUGAUGAUUUUGAAUGAUGGAUGAAGUUCUUGGCUAGAUUCUCGUCAAUGUACUUCCACAACUCCGCCAACUCUAUCUGCGAUAGAUUGUAGAUUGGGCCAAAAGGCGGUUGUACACCUUCCUGUAAGUCUAUGGCACAAUCAUAUGGUCUGUGUUUCGGUAGCAUGUCGGCAUUUUUCUUUUGAAACACGUCUUUAAAAUCCUUAUAUUGCUCCGGUAUACUUGCUGUCGAGAUCUUCUCCCCGGUAGUUGGAGCCGCAUAAAUGACAAACGGUGUGCCUCCCUUGGACAAUCUUAUAAAUGCUCUUGCUCCAAUAAAUAAGGAUUUCUCUAUUUGGGGUUUUCUACUAGGCUUGCUCUUGGGUGGUUUUGUGGGAAAGGUCAUCUUCCGCAACUUCCAAUCUAUGGAUGGGUUAUGCUUUUCCAACCCCGAAAGACCAAGAAUAACAGGAUUUGAUGGGAUUCUAAUAAUAUUGAAAAUAAUAUGACUACUAUGGUCCUUAAACGUCACUUCUAUAGGUUCUGAUUCAUGGGUGACACUACCAGACAAUAAAGGUCGUCCAUCUAUGACCUCAACGUGAACAGGUUGGGAUUUUUGUACUAAAGGGAUCUUAUAACGCCUUGCAAAUUCUUCGUCUAAAAAACAAGCAGAUGCUCUUGAAUCUAAUAAUGCUAAGGUUCUCAGUUUCUGAGGGCCAAUAAGCAAAGGGAUUGUAAAACAAAGGGCCGGUUGAGCGGAAAGAAAGGAACUUGAUUGUUGUUGCGAUAUUUCACUGUCCAGCUGCACGGUUCCUAUUGUGGCUGGGCAUCUUCGUUUUCCUGAAUAAACGCACCUCUAGUCUUGAUAAUACGUCGAUUUUGCUUCUUGGGGCAGUUUCCAACUUUGUGGCCUUCUUCACCACAAUACAAGCAUAGACCUUCCUCCAUACGCCGCUUUUUUUCUUUUAGAGUAAGAGAUUUGACACGUAUCGCAUCAAUUUGCAUAUCUUCUACCUCUGAAUGUGAAUUCACGCUGCUUGCCGACACAGUUGGGGUGUGGCGAACCGUAUGUUGUCUUGAACGUUGGUCUUGGCGACGUUGGAAUAGGCGGUUAUCGCACUUCACAGCUUGGCUAAUAGCUUCGUUGAGCGUUUGCGGAUCAGGAAGAGUUAACAACAAAUCCUUCACAUCGUCCCUUAAAUCCCAACAGAAUUGACUCAUCAACGCUUCUUUGUCCCAAUUGAUGUCGCAUUCUAAUUGCUUGAAGUCCGAUGUAUAGACUGAUGUAGAACGCAUCCCUUGUCGUAGUGACCGGAUCUUUGUUGUAGCCCAUCGAACCUUGUCGUGUUCACCAAAUGCUUUCGCAAAUGCCUCCAAAAAGGUUUCAAAGUUUUUUAGUAUGGACGAUCAUUUCUCAAACAAAAGAGCAAACCAUAAUAGAGCUUGUCUUGUAAGUAAGGUUCCAACAAGCCCAACACGUGACUCCUCCGUUGGAUAGCGUUCGGGCUGUAAAACUGUUAUCAACUUGAUUUGGUUGAUGAAUCCUCAAAACUUGGAACGUGUACCAUCGAACUUGUCUGAAAGGCUAAGUCGAGGUUCCUUAUGUUGUAGAACUAGCGGUGCUUGUCGAACCUAAGGCAAAGUUGCUUCUCCAAGUGUAGAAGUUUGAGGCUGGUGCAACCUAGAUUGUGCCAUCCCAGAUGCUCCAUCAUUAUGAAGUCUUGCCACGACUCUUUCAAUCUCUGCAGUUCUUUGUGAUAACAUAGCGAGGGCAUUCAUGAUAGCAUCUAACUUGGACUCUAAACUUUUUGUCAUAUUAAUGUCUUGGCUCCUGACCAUUCUAAGAGAAGGACAGGAAUGACUCUACAAGAAGACAAUAUUGGUUUAGAGGAGGGUACUCCGCAACCUCUAAAAUGGCUUAAGAGCUUCAAGAAAAGGGAUAAUCCACUCUCUCCAAGAAGAAUAAGAUUCCAAUAUUGUAACAAAAGAAGUAUCAGUUUAGAGGAGGGUAAUCCGCAACCUCUAAAGUGCUAGUACACUUCCAAGCAGAGGGGUAAUCCACACUCUAACAAAGAAAAAACUAGCUCUGAUAUCUGAGGUGAGUGAAGUCUCGACAAACUGUCACGGACACAGAAUACAGACUUGAUAUCUACCAAGAAGUUCAAGAAGAACUGGCAAGAACUAGAUUAAUCAGAUGAAUACAAGAAUAACACCAGAGAGGUGAGCUAGAGCUCCAAGAGAUGUGUUGUCGAGACUGAAGAACUCUUCAGCCUCGAUUCCAAUAUAUACUCCUAUUUAGGAAGCUUCUCAAGCAACUUCUACCAACUAGGAAGCUUUUAGAAGGUUCCAGAGACUUGCUUCUAGAAGAUUCUAGAAACUUAUCUCUAGAAGGUUCUAAGGACUAUGUCCCUAACAUCUUCUACCAACUAAGAAGCUUCUAGAAGGUUCCAGAGACUUGCUUCUAGAAGGUUCUAGAAGCUUGUCUCUAAAAGGUUCUAGAGACUUGCUUCUAGAAGGUUCUAGAAGCUUGUCUCUAGAAGGUUCUAGAAACUUGUCUCUAAAAGGUUCUAAGGACUAUGUCCCUAACAUGAUAAUAUCAAAAUGGUUGGAAUCAAGAGUUGUAAUUGCAAAGUUGUUUAAUCGAUUUAUUUUGUGACCUAAGAAGGACUUUGCAUUAUUCUACAACAAGUUACUUUUCACAUGAAAUUGAAUGACUUCUGCAUCUUUAUCACAAGAGAGAAAGAUCUUAAAUUUAUUACUUUUUUAUUGAUACUUUGGCAAAAGGAGAACAUGACUCUAUGAUGAUAUUGAGGAAAAGGAAAUCGCAAAAUGUAGUUUAUAUUUUGUGUAAGAUUAGUAGAAGAUCUUGAUAUUUUUAAAGGUAUGCAUUGAUUUUUGAUAUUUUUUUAUUUUUGGAUUGUAGAGAAAUGUACUAUCUAUCUCCAUAGAUUCUUAUGAUGUGAUUAUUAAAAAGACAAUAAAUCAGCUCUAGUCAUGAAUCUUUGAAGCAGUUAUUGAUCAAUGGACACUAGAAUGCAUUCUAGUUAAUAAUAACAAUGUAAAUUUCUACUAAAAUAUACUUAAUAUUUGCUUAGGUUUUAGUUUUUGGUAUUUGGUACAUUACAUCUUAUGUAUUUUUUUGGAAGAUUUUUAAUAGAAAUUUGAGUUGAGUUGUUGUUAUUUUUAUUUUUAUUUUUUAUUUUUUUUUGUUUGGUUUUAGAGGUUGAGUGAUGUAUACAAGACAAUAGAAUCAUAGGCCAAAGUGAAUUUAGGGCCUCCAAAUAUAAUAGAGCUUUAAAAUGGUGUUGCCAAUGGAAUAGCAAUAUUACCUAAAGGACGUUAUUAUUUCUAUAUACCUAGUCUUGAGUUGCAGUCUGUCAAGAAGAACAUCAAUCACAUGUUGAAACUUAGCUUAGGAUUGUGGGUCUUGAAAUUUGUUCUCAACAUCAUUACCUUUUACUUAAUGGCAUCUAUAAAACAAAAUAUUACAAUUUAUAGCUUUUUUACUUCAUACAUAUGAGAAGUCUGAACUUCAUAGCCUUAUAUGAAAUGAACCAUGUGAAUUAAUCAUCUCUAUGAAGCAAAAAUCUUAAUAUAUAUAUAUAUAUAUAUUUAGAAUCUAGUAUUUUAUAAUUAAAUAAUUACUAUUUUUAAUAUUUUAAAAUUAUAAUAUAUUUCUUUUGAAAAAAAAUCAAUCACUUUAAGUGGAUGUCUUGGUCCUAUUUCUAUUGCAAUAUCUAAUGUCACGUAAAAUACCUUAUGUCUCUUCUAUAGAAUAAAAGACUUAUUUUAUAACCUUCACCAAUAUUAUUUGUUCAUUGUUUAUAUUCUUUAACUUCUAUACAUUUGGUUUAGAAAUUAAGUACAAUGUAUAUAUAUAUAUAUAUAUAUAUAUAUAUAUAUAUACAUUUUUUUGGAAAAAUAAAAAGAAAGAAAUUUAGUUUUAGACAUGUCUAUGAAUUAAUCCAAAUGUUGUUCAUUGAAAGAUGCAAAGUAGGAUCUUGUUUUGAGAUUUUAGAACUAUCAAUCUAAGGUUUUGGAUCUUAGGCAAAGAAUGCAUAAAUAGUUGCAAGGUCUUUGUUGAUUGUUGAGAAUACAGAGGACAUGUACAGAUAUUAUGUCCCAUUGAUUUAUAGUUGCUGCAAAGGUAUCUCUUUAUUCUUACUUUUAUAGUUUUGAAUUGUGAUGCAGAUUAUUAUGUUGAUUUUUUUACAUGCAUAUUACUUUUGGUUCUAUUUCUUGCUCCUUGUGGCCUGUCCUUCAAGUGAUGCACUUAUAGAUUUUUUAACUGCUCUAUUAUUAUUAGAAGCUAAAUCAAUCUUUCACUUAGAUUUUCUUAUUGGUGAAUAGAUAAAACAUCAAAAGUUUGAUUAACAGUAGCAUAAAGUAGAUAUAAACUUUCAAAAGAGGAUGGCAUUAUAGGUGGUAUUCAAAUAAAUUGGUUUGGAAUAUUUAUUAAGUAGUAUUGAUGAUAAAAAUUGCUAUAUGACAAAAUAUCUCUUCUUUUCAAUAAAAUUUUUAUUUGAUGCUUACAUGCUAGACUUAAUGUAUUUAUCAUUGUCCUUGUGUAGGAUUAAUUAAAUUUAUUAAUUUUUACUUUUACUUAUUUAUAUUGCUCAAAGAAAAGACUAAAAGCAUGUAAAGAUACAUAUUUCACAAUAUUGGUGAAGAAACCAAUAUUAUAUUGAUGAACAAUAUCGAUUUAUUGUAAAAAAUUUUGAGUCUUCAAUUUUCUUAUUGUAUUUUCAAAAAAGUAAAAAAGAGAAAUUUGAGCUUCUUUAAGAUCUUUAGUAGAGACUUUUAAAUAGGAUUUUAAUAUUGAAUGUUGAUCUUCUAUUCAUGAUAUAGUAACACUUGCAAGAUGAAGUAGGUUAUUUGUCCAAGCUUUAACAAAUCUCUUCUUAUGUGGUAUUUAAGUGUUCUUUAAGUACUUAAUAGAUGCAUGAGAAACGAUAGGAAUGUAUUUAUUGCAAAGAUUAAUCCAUUCCAAAUUAAUAAAUUCUUCAAAACAUGCAGUAAUCACAAUGGUCCAAUUUGCAAGGAAUGUAGACCAUUCCAACUCUACUUUGUUUAAAAAUUAUUUUUUACAAUUUAUUAACAUACUUUUUAUAUAUAUUAAAUAUAUAAUAAUAUAUUUGAAGUAGAAAAUAUUAAUUUAAUAGUAUUUAUUAAUACUAAAUUCCUAUUAACACCUAUGCAAAUGGGUUGAAUUUCUCUAUACACUUCUUGAAGUUGGAUUAAUGUCCAACAAAAGUAGAAUUUUAUUUCUUCUUGGAAAAAAGCAAUACCAAUGAUAAAUGAGGUAUUGAAACUUAUCAUCCCUAUAAUAUGUAAUAUUGGCAUUUUAAAUCCAUUUAUUUUAUGUGUGUAAUCCGUGACAAUGGAAAAAUAGUACCUUUUUGUAAAUUUAAUAUAACUAGAAUGUGCAAAAAAUAAAGAAGUAACUUUAUCUACUUGAUUAUAAUAAUAAAUAAAAUGAUAAUUAGCUCUUUAUAAAGUUUAUAUACGACAUAUAAUAGGUCAUUUUUUAAAAAAUACAAUGCAAUAUAAAUUUUGUCGCUCAAUGUGAAUAGUUUGAGCAAUGAUUUUGCUAUUAGUAUCACUCUCAUAUAAGGCAAUAAAAACAUUUUUUAGUAGGAUGCAUGCAAUUAGCAAUUAUAAAGUUAGUUUUUUUUUGGCUACUUGCAAACAACAAGCAAAUAUGUAACAAAGCAUAGAUAGGAUGGUUGUAUUAUUUACAUAUAAUGAUAUGUAAUUGGAGUCAUUUUUGAGAAGCAUUUAGAAUUGAAGUUAAAAUAGUGGUUCAUGUAAAACCUACCAUAGAACCUUCUAAAAAGACUUGACUUAAGGCAGUUAUCAUGGUGGAAUUUACUUCUAAAAUCUUUUAGAAGUAUAAUUAUAUUAGUAGGAUCCACCAUUAGAGAUAUUCUAAAAAGUUUCAAGAUAUUUGAAUAAAGUAUAAAUAUGAUUGACUAAGACCAUUUGGAAUAUUCAAUCAAGUAUGAUUUUAUAUUCUUUCCUCUGAUAAAGUUUGGUUUUUUUAUUUCAUUUUAUUUAAUUGUGUUAGAUUUUUUUUAUUCUAUUCUCUUUUAUUCAGUCUUAUCUUUUAUAUUCUAUUUUAUUUAGUUUUUUUUUUAUUUUUAGUGUAAUUGAUCUUAUAUUGUGUUGAGAUCUUUUUUGUUAUGGAUUUGGUAAGAUUUUAGAUCUUAGAGUAUUUGGUCUUAUUUCAUUGGUAUGAGAGCAAAUGUUAGUUUGUUCUUUGGUAGUGUAUAGAUAGCCACCAUUUAGUUGGAAGCCAAUUAUUGUAAUCACAUUGGAUAUUAUUUUAAAGCUACAAUAAGCCACUUUAAGAAGUGAGUUGGAAGAAGAAAAGGCAUUACAAUAGCAAAGUUAAAUAAGAAAAUUAUUGCAUAGGAGAUGUGGCAGAGCAAUCUUAGAUGGAGACUCAGAUACAAUAUCUCUUAGGCUAAAUAGCUACUCUACAAGGGCAAAUAGAAUCUUCUAAGAUAAAGGAGUUGACAUUUGCUAGACUUAAAUUGAAUAAGUGUAAUACAUACUUAGAAACCUCAAGGCAAGAAGAUGUAUGCCAAUGGCUCUUCAACAUGUGACAAUACCUCUAAUUAUUUGGAACAAACAUGAAUGAAGGAAUUAUAUAUGCUUCUAGUUAUUUGAGAGGUGUAUCAGUUGUUUGGUGGCAAUAUCAAGCUGAAAGCUAUGGAACUCUAGGCAGUGUCAUAUUACGUAUUGUCUUGCUGAAGAAUGCACCAGAUAUGUGGCUAUAGAAGGUGAGAUUGUAUUUUACAAGUAGCUAAGAAACUCUAAUAGAUUUCACCCAUAGGAGAAGAAUAUCAUCUGAAUUUUAAUUCAAAAUUCCUAAAAACAUUCUUUUUAGUAGUCUUAAUCAUACAUAAAUUCCAAUUACCUUGCUACUUUUAUAUUUAAAUAAUUUAGAUUUUUCUUAUAAGCCCCAAUCCUAAUUAGUGAGCUUUAACAAGCUGUAACAUCCAAUCCGACCAUCCACUUGAUGUGGAAUUUUGCAUGCAAUCGUCAAUAUAAGUCUUCUAUAUGCUCAAGAAUUUUUAGCCCAAUCCAACUUUCAAAUUGUGAGAAAACCUCCAAAAAUUGCACUAAUAUCACUCAGCUGCCAACUUGAAAAGUGAAGUAGAAAUCCCAGCAGUGUUUUCUCCCUUUCUAACUAUUAACUUUGUCUCAAAAUUGGUAUGUAGCUUGAUCUUCAAGUCUUUUAACACCGUGCCAAUUUUCACUUUAAUCCAAUUGAUAGAUCUUCAAAUAUCAUAGAAACCCUAUCCAACCUCAAACUGCCACCUUCUGAAACCCUCUUGUAUUAAAAACUAGAUAUCUCUAAACCAUGCCAUUAGAUUAUCACAAAAUUUUGUAUACACUUAGCACAUCUAAUAAUCCAAAUAGUAUCAAAUUUUCAACUAUAGAUGUUACAUCAAUUGCAUGAACUAGCCAAAAUUACUAGCCUUAAUUAUAUUAUAUAAAAUCCAAAUCACUGAUACAAACCAUGACUUCAAACAACAAUUGCUAAGUCUUCAAACAAUUUCCAAAAAAAAUCCUUAUGCCUUUGAAAAGAAAUUCAAGCUAGUUCUCAAACCAUAUCCUCUGAUCUUCAAUUGAAUUCCUAUUUUGUCCUAAGCCGUUGUUUUAGUGGCUAGAGGUCUGAUUUCAAUCAUGUCUCACAAACGUUCGACCCCCGGGUAUCAAUCUAACCUAUCCUAAGGAUUUUUUAGCCCAACCCUAUUCUCAACUUAAUCCUAGUACCAACUAUAGUAAUUAUUUACUUCUUCUAACCUGAUUUUAUUAAUUUAUGGUCAUUCUAAAGUAGUAGAAGAGUCUUUAUAAUCUUGAAGGUAAAAUUACUAACUAACCUUCAACUUACUAACUAUUAAGAUAAGAAAAUAAUCUAAAAGACUUUUAUAAAAGCCAUGUUUAGAUACCUCAAAUUAUAAUUGAGCUAAGAUAAUUAGAUAUUAAUUAGAAAUUUAAUUUUAAUUAUAAUUUCACUAUAUAGUCGUAUUACAUCACGAUAGUGGAUUUAGUGACUAUGAAGAGUUUGAGACCAAGCUUAGGAGUCAAUUUUGGCCCAUCAAUGCAAAAAAGUUAGCACAAGAUCAGUUAGCUAAUCUUACAUAAUCCAAAUUAGUUUAAGAUUAUGUCUCCUGAUUUAAAUUCUUAUGUUUUUAAAUUGACAAUGUUUCAGAGGUAGAAAUGAUGGAUCAGUUUGUAUAAGGAUUGAAACCUAUGGUCCAACAAGAAGUGAAUUUAAUAAAUCCACAAACAUUUGAAGAGGUAGUUAGGAUUGUAGAGAGGGUCGAUACUAUAGAUUUUAGAAAUUAUAGAGUAUGACCUAUAACAUAGAGUCCUAUGCGACUAACCAAUAUUAUAGCGUAACAAUCAAUGCCAAUGGAGAUUGAUGCUCUGGAAGAACCAUUGACACGACAAAGAUGAAAAUUAUUGGCGCUAAAUGCAUUGCACUUUUAUUAUCAAGAACCAAACCAUCAAAUCAAAAACCAUCCAAAAUAUCAAAGUUCAAAUACCAAAAAAUUACAACGGAUCUACAAGCUUGAGGGCUAAUAAGUUGAUAAAAAAGUAGAGUAGGAAAAUAAGGCUCCCUAAUACAAAUACUGAGGGCCAAUAUUAGAGACAGUUGUUAUUUCUUAGGGACAAAUAGCAAGACUUUGAACAACUAUUAGAAGGGUCGACUAAGAGGACAACCAUGUCAAAUGCUUAUAGAUUGCAGCUCUACAAAAAAUUGCAUCUUGACCACAAUUACCAACUGACUUGAGAUUAAAACAAAGGUGAUUAAAAGAAGGAGUAUAUAUUUAGUAAAUAAUCAAGAAAAUAUAUUCAGUGAGAUAAGUAAAGAAGAAAUCCUAAAGCUAAGUGACACCUAUGCUGUAAUAGGAUAUAGAUAAGAUAUUUGUAUUAUUGACACAUAAGGAUAGAUAAUUGUAAUCAUAUUUGAGAAGUUAUGGAAGUUCUUAGAAUUAGGGCUAGGUUAGUGGAUUAUAUAGGAUCCACCAUGGAAUAUUCUAAAAAGAGCUCAUGGCAAUUAUAUAAGUGGAAUCCACUAUAGAACUUCUUAGAAAAGGCUUCGGAUGGUUAUCUAGGCAGGAUCUAUCAUAGAACCUUCUAAAAAGAAUUUAGGGUGGUUAUCUAAGUGGGAUCCAUCAUCUAAGAACAUUCUAGAAAGUCUAGGGUCGUAAAAUAAAGUAUAAAUAAGACUGAGUAGGGCCUUUUUGGCAUUUGGUUAGGUAUGGCUUUGGACCUUCUCUCUUUAUAAAAUUUGAUUUUGCAUCUUCAUGUUUAAUUCUAUUUUGUUUUAUAUUCAUUUACAAAGUUUUAUCUUUUGUAUCAUAUUCUAUUUAGUUUUCUUUAGUUUUAUUUUAGUCUAUUUUGUCUUAUUUUGUGAUAAGAAUUUAUGUUAUUGUGGAUUAAAAGAGUUUUAGACUCUCAAGAAAGAGUAGUCUUGUUUCAUUAAUAUUAGAGCAAAUAUUAGGCUAUUCUUUGGUAGUAUGUUGAUAGCCAUCAAUUAAUUCAAGAUUAAUUAUUAAGGUGAUACUAUAUACUGUCUUGAGGCUACUAUGAGCUCUUGUUAAAAAAUCAACUGAAAGAUGAGAAGGCAUUAUAAUAAUAGAGUUCAAUGAAAAAAUUAUAGUAUGGAAGAUAUGGUAGACUUAUCCCAGAUAGAAGCUCAAAUACAACACCUCUUAGGCUAGAUAGCUACUUUACAAAGAUAAAUAAAAGCCUCUAAGACAAGAGAGUUGACAUCUAGUAGGUUGAAAUUGAGUAAGUCUAGUACAUACUUUCAAACUUCAAGAUAAGAAGAUAUAUGUCAAUGGCUAUUCAAUAUGAAACAAUACCUCCAACUAUCUAGAGCAAAUACCAUUGAAAGAAUUAUAUAUGUAGCUACCUAUCUGGAAGAUGCAGUGGCCUUUUGGUGGCGACAUUUUAUUCAAAGCUAUGAAGCUCAAAGUAGAUUUUGUGAGUAGAAUGAAUUUGAGACCAAGUUUACAAAUCAAUUUUGGCCCAUCAAUAUGAAAAAGAUAGCAUGCGAUCAGUUGAUAAAUCUUACACAAUUUAGGUCUAUAUAAGAUUAUGUCUCUUGAUUCAAGUCUCUAUAUUUCUAAAUUAGUAAUAUUUUAGAGGCAAAGAUGAUAGAUUGAUUUCUAUAAGGUUUGAAACUUGAGGUCCAAAAAAAGGUGGAACUAAGGGAUCCACAAAUACUUGAAGAAGUAAUUAGGAUUGUAGAGACGGUCGAUACUAUGAAUUUCAGGAAUUAUGGAAUAAGACCUAUGGUACGAAGUCUUAUGUUGCUAUCUUAUACUAUGGCACAAUAACCAAUCCCAAUGAAGAUUGAUGCCCCACAAGAAUCUUUGACACGACAAAGACAACAAAUAUUGGUAUAAAAGAGAUUAAGUUUUUAUAGUCAAGAGCCAAGCUAUCACAUUGAAGGUUGUCCAAAACAUCUAAAUUCAAUCUCAAACAAAAUAAAGUGGAUUCAUAGUAUCAAGAUUCACCAAAUCGAUAAUUAGACAAAGUAGAGAAACAAGACUUCCUAAUAAAGGCAUUAAAGGUCAAUACUAGGAAUAGUUAUUAUUUUUAAAAACAAAUAGCAUAGCCUUGGAUGACUAUAAAAAAAAAGUUGAUUAGUGCAUCUAAUGGAACUAUUAAGAAAACAGCUAUAUUGAGUGCUUAUAGAUUGUGGCUCUACAGAAAAUUACAUCUUGAUUGAAAUUACCAAUUGACUUGACAUUAAAAUUAAUAUAAUCAAAUGAGAGAGUAUAUAUCUUAUAGAUGAUUGAGAGAAUGUAUUAAGUGAGACAUGUGAAGAAAAAACCUUGAAAUUAACUAACACUUAUGUCUUAAGAAAGAAGUUUAAGGAACCAAAGCUAAGAUAUGAUGUUAUCUUUGGUAUAUUAUGGCUAAACAUGAAAAAUAAGUAAGUUGAUUAAGUAGCAAAGAUAGUUUCGUAUUGUGAUUCCACUACUAUAUAUUUUGUAAGAUGUUUAAUGAAUUUUAAGUUUGAAUAAAGAAGAUAUUGGAAGUUGAAGUCAGCACUUAAAACCUAAAGGUAGUAAGUGAUCCAAUUUUCUUGUGCUUGUAUUUUGAGCUAUAUCUUAAGCAAUUUGACAAGAUUUUGCCUCAAAAUUUCUAAAAAUAUAUAUAAUCAUGUUAAUAAAAUUUUUAUAUAAAUUUUGUAGCAUUUAAAUAUUAGAUUUUUUGAGUAUGAAGAAAAUAGUGCUUGGAUGCUUGUAAGUUAGGGUUUAGAGAAACUUCUAGGGUUUCUAAGAUGUCAAAAGAUUCAUAGCAAAUUUAUAAUUUAUUUAUUUUGUAAUAAAGCUUAAGAGUAAUAGGUACAUUAUAUAUAAAUUUGAUAAAAAUUAAAUAGUUGGAUCAAGAGAUAUGCAUUUUUAAAGUACAAGAAGAAGAAAUUCUUUAUGGGAAAAAUAUAUUUUGAAGGAUUUUGCUAUAAUUUGAGUAUUUUAUAUAAAGUGAAGAGGUUUUGAGAGCCAAGACUUUGUAUAUAAGUUAAAGGCGGAAUAAAUCACUUAUUUAAGCUUAGCUAAUAAGUUAAAACUAAACUCUCUACAACUAGAUAUCCUAUGUAUUUUCAAAUUGUAAAUCACACUACACAAUAACACGUGGGUGAUCUUCUUAAUUAACUUCUAGGUGGGACCAUCUUAAAGAAAUUGGAUCUUUGGAAUAGAUAUUGAUAGACACCUAUUGCAAAAGAAAAUAUUAAAAAGAUGGCAUUUCAUAUGCAUUAUAUACAUUUCAAAUGACUUGUUUUAUCUUUUUCUUCACCAAUGCUCUAGCCUCUUUCAUUGAUCACAUAAAAAAUUUAUUUUGGGACCUUUUGAAUAAGUAUGUAGUUAUUUUUAUUGAUGAUAUCUUUGUGUAUAGUAAAACCUCUAAGGAGCAUGAGUGCAAUGCCAGCUAUAAGAUAGUUCCUACUAUUCAAGUAAUUAAGAUGUGAACUUUCGAAGUUGGAAGUCAUUUUUUUUGGGCAUGUAAUAUCUUCUAAAGACAUCUGCAUCGAGUAGGAUAAACUGAAAGUGGUAAAGGAUUGGCCAACCUCCAAAGAUGCUCUUAAAGUCUACUCAUUCUUAGGCCUUGUUGGAAACUAUUAUUAUUUUUUUUGGCAAUUUGUACACAUUGCUACCUCAUUGAUAAACCAUCUGAGAAGUAUUCUUUAUUUAAAUGGAAACUAGAGCAACAAAGUACCUUUGAUAGGUUGAAAGAGAUAUUCACUAUUCUUCUAACAUUACAACCGUAUAUUCUCAAUCUUCUUUAAAUACUUGACUUUGAUGCUUUCGACUUUGCUAUUGGAGCAAUUCUUCAAUAAAACUUUGUUAGGGGCCUUCAAUCCUUAGUGUAUGAAUCAUGCAAGCUUAAAAGGGCAGAGUGCAAUUAUUUUGCAUAUAAUUGAUAGCAAUUAGUGAUUGUAUAUACCACAAAGGUAUAGUGACACUAUCCAUUGGAAAAGCUAGUGAUUGUUUGGACUGACCAUUGAUUCUUGCUACAUGAUUUAUAUGUAAAAAAUAUGAAAUCAUGACAUCAUAACUAAGAAGAACAAUUGUAGCUUUUUGACAUUUAGCUUAAGUACAAGCAAUGGUGAUAAUAUAUUAUGCCAAAUAGCUUAUCAUAGAGACCAAACUUUAAGAUUGAAUUAGAGGAUAAGGAAAAAGUCGCUACUAAUAGUAAUAUCAUCUCAAACCUAACCAAAGUCUAUACAUCAAGUUGCUUAUUUUAAGAUGAUUAGUGAUUGACUGAAGGUAGGCAAUGUAUAGUAUCAAAAUUAUAAUCUUAAUGAUGGCUUAUUCUAUUUUAAGAAAUAAAAUUAUAUACUUCAAAAUAUUAUAUUUUAGACUUAUAUACUUCAAAAGGGACAUAAUAUUCUAAUGUCUAGAUACCUAAGGUGAAAAAAGACUCUAGAACGGAUCUCAUAGACAUGAUUUUGAGUAGGUUUGGAUUGUGAUGUUCAAAUUUUUAUUUGCUCCUAUGAGUCAUGUCAACAUAACAAAGCAUACAAUGUAGUAUCUCUUAGACUAUUGUAGCCAAUUUCACUACCUACGGCAUGUUGGAAGCAGGUGACUAUAGAUCUCAUUAUGUGUUUGACAUAAAUACCUUAUAAUCACAUAGUAAUUGUAAUCUUUGUGGAAUGAUUCUUAAAGCAACUUCACUUGGCCACAAUGCAUUAAGAUAUUAAUCCCUCAACACUUAUAUGACUUUUCUUUGAUAUUGUCUUUCGUCACCAUGGAUUACGUUGUGUCAUUAUUUUAGAUCAAAAUCCAUGCUUCACUAGAAGUUUUUGGUAAGCUUUAUUCAAGCUAUUGGGCACACAAAUUGUCAUAUUUAUAGCCUUCCAUCCUCAAGUAAAUAGACAUAUGAAGCAUAUAAAUCGUACCUUGGAAGAUAUGUUAGGAGCAUUUGUAGUAGUUCAUCAUAAAGACUAGGAUGAAUAUUUGACGUCUUUGGAGUUUGCUUACAAUGAUAAUAUUCAAGCAAGUAUCCAUCAUUUAAUAUUUUUUUUUAAUACUCAAUAUUUGAUUAUGCUAGCAACUCUUUAUUGUUGUAUUAAUACUAAUAACCUAAGAAUAGAGGAAUUUAUAUAAUAGCUUAUAAUGGCAUUAUAAGAGACAUGGCAUUGCCUCCCUACUACAUAAAAUUGACAAAAGUAAUAUGCAGAUAACCAUCGGCAACACAAGACCUUCUGAAAAGAUGAUUAGGUAUUACUUUUCAAUGCCAAUUUAUUAUUUGCUACAUCAAUCCAAAUAUGAAAACUAGCACCUUAAUGGCUUGGAUCUUUUUACAUUUUUAUAGUGAUUUUGUAUAUUAUUUUAAGCUUUCGCUACAUAUUUGGAUCCAUCUAGUCUUCCAUAUUUUGUAUUUGAAGGAAUUUUAUACUAAGCCAAAGUACUUUUUGGAUUG